CGGGCAAGGCCCCCUUUGAAAUUCUGUAUGGCAGGAAGUGCCGUACCCCUCUCAACUGGUCUGAAACCGGUGAACGUCAGCUGCUGGGUAAUGACUUAAUCACAGAAGCAGAAGAUAUGUGCAAAGUCAUUCGUGAUAACCUCAAAGCAGCCCAGUCCCGCCAGAAGAGCUACUAUGAUAGUAAGCACCAUGAUCUGGCUUUCGAGAUCGGAGAUCAUGUUUACCUCCGCGUCUCUCCCAUGAAAGGUACUCGUCGCUUCGGUAUCAAAGGGAAGCUUGCCCCUAGAUAUGUGGGACCUUUCAAGAUUGUCAGCAAGAGAGGCGACCUCGCCUAUCAACUCGAGCUUCCUUCAAACUUUGCAAAUGUUCAUGAUGUGUUCCAUGUCUCUCAGCUUCGAAAGUGCUUCAGGACUCCUGACCGCACCGUCAACUUCGAGGACAUUGAGCUCCAAGAAGAUCUCUCCUAUCGUGAGCACCCAGUUGCUAUUCUUGAAGAGACUGAACGCAAGACUUGCAACAAGUCAAUCAGAUUUCUCAAAGUUAAGUGGUCUCACCAUUCCGAUCGUGCAGCCACCUGGGAACGCGAGGAUCACCUCCGUUCUGAGUACCCGGAGUUCUUUCAGUCCUAGAUCUCGGGACGAGAUCUUUUCGUAGUGGUGGAGUGUUGUAACGCCCCAGAUAUACUUUCCAUAUUUGUAUCCAACUCUUGCCGUCUCCGGCGCUAAGUUAUAUUUAUUUCUCAGGUUUGGGUCUUUGUCUCCGUGUGUUGUUUUUCUUUUUCGUGCAUCUCUUAUCAUGUCAUCACGUGCAUUGCAUUUGCAUACAUGUUCAUCUCAUGCAUUCGAGCAUUUUCCCCGUUGUCCGUUUUGCAUUCUGGCGCUUCGUUCUCCUCCGGUGGUCAUUUCUAGUCUUCUUUCGUGUGUGGGGUUUAAACAUUUCCGGAUUGGACCGAGACUUGCCAAGCGGCCUUGGUUUACUACCGGUAGACCGCCUGUCAAGUUUCGGGUCAUUUGGACUUCGUUUGAUACUCCAACGGUUAAACGAGGGACCGAAAAGGCCUCGUGUGUGUUGGAGCCCAACACCCCCCAAAUUUGGCCCAAAACCCACCAAACUCUGCUCCAUGUCCUAUAGCGUUCGAUCACGAUCGUGUGGGCGAAAACCGCACCUCAUUUGGACUCUCCUAGCUCCCUCUAUGCCUAUUAAUACCCCCUCCAUUCGGAUCUCUUCUUCCCCCGUCCGAAACCCUAGUUUUUUAAAAAAAGAUCUCCACCGACGGACGUGUCCGCCCCCGGCCGGACAACGUCCGCCGCCAACCCCGCCAGUCGCUGCGCGCCACGUGUCCCUCGCCGCCGCCGCCGCCGUCCCGGCCCGGGAGGCCCAGGAGGGGCCCCNNNNNNNNNNNNNNNNNNNNNNNNNNNNNNNNNNNNNNNNNNNNNNNNNNNNNNNNNNNNNNNNNNNNNNNNNNNNNNNNNNNNNNNNNNNNNNNNNNNNNNNNNNNNNNNNNNNNNNNNNNNNNNNNNNNNNNNNNNNNNNNNNNNNNNNNNNNNNNNNNNNNNNNNNNNNNNNNNNNNNNNNNNNNNNNNNNNNNNNNNNNNNNNNNNNNNNNNNNNNNNNNNNNNNNNNNNNNNNNNNNNNNNNNNNNNNNNNNNNNNNNNNNNNNNNNNNNNNNNNNNNNNNNNNNNNNNNNNNNNNNNNNNNNNNNNNNNNNNNNNNNNNNNNNNNNNNNNNNNNNNNNNNNNNNNNNNNNNNNNNNNNNNNNNNNNNNNNNNNNNNNNNNNNNNNNNNNNNNNNNNNNNNNNNNNNNNNNNNNNNNNNNNNNNNNNNNNNNNNNNNNNNNNNNNNNNNNNNNNNNNNNNNNNNNNNNNNNNNNNNNNNNNNNNNNNNNNNNNNNNNNNNNNNNNNNNNNNNNNNNNNNNNNNNNNNNNNNNNNNNNNNNNNNNNNNNNNNNNNNNNNNNNNNNNNNNNNNNNNNNNNNNNNNNNNNNNNNNNNNNNNNNNNNNNNNNNNNNNNNNNNNNNNNNNNNNNNNNNNNNNNNNNNNNNNNNNNNNNNNNNNNNNNNNNNNNNNNNNNNNNNNNNNNNNNNNNNNNNNNNNNNNNNNNNNNNNNNNNNNNNNNNNNNNNNNNNNNNNNNNNNNNNNNNNNNNNNNNNNNNNNNNNNNNNNNNNNNNNNNNNNNNNNNNNNNNNNNNNNNNNNNNNNNNNNNNNNNNNNNNNNNNNNNNNNNNNNNNNNNNNNNNNNNNNNNNNNNNNNNNNNNNNNNNNNNNNNNNNNNNNNNNNNNNNNNNNNNNNNNNNNNNNNNNNNNNNNNNNNNNNNNNNNNNNNNNNNNNNNNNNNNNNNNNNNNNNNNNNNNNNNNNNNNNNNNNNNNNNNNNNNNGCGGCCGGCCCCGCCGGCCACCUCGCCGCCCCUCGACGCCGGCCACCGCCUCCCCCUACGCCGGCGGCCUCGGAUCCGGCGCCGACGAACCUCGUCGCGCGCGCCCAGCUACAGUGCCCGAUCCGGCUACAGUAAACCCUAGAUCUAGGUUGACUUUCCCUCUUCCCCCUUAUUUUUUUUGCUAUCUUUGACUGCUUGUAUCUCCACAACCGUUGCUCCGUUUUGGGCAUACGAUAUAUCAAAAUCUUCGCCUCGACAUGUACAUCAUUUCAUUCCAUUGCAUCAUUUGCAUUUGAGGUCAUCUUGACGCCCAAAAUGCUGUUAGAAGGAGGCUUCGUGAGUUAAAUUGCAGAUCCGUUAGUUCAUCAUGCACUUUUGUCAUUUUUGCCAUGUUUAAUUCGUGCAUGAUAUGCCUGUGCCCCUUUGGGAUGAAUUGUUAAGCAUUUUGUCUUCUUUCCAGUGGUGCCACCCAUGCAUUUUUAGGAUGUGUGUGUUGUCUUGUGCAAGCUUGUGAAGAGAGGUACCUGAGAUUGCUGAUUUCAGAGACUUAGUGAUUUUCUGGGAUAUUUUAGUUCAUGAUGCUAUAUGUCCAGCUUGUUUCCUAGUGAUCCGUGCCUCUUUUGAGGAUGAUCAGUAAGGGAGUUUUGAUAUUUAUGUUAUGCUCUAUCCAUCCAUGUCUUUGUUUGCAUAUGUGGAGUGCUCUAGGUUGACUCAAUCGAGCUCAACUUUUGCUUCGUUGUUAACCUGGGCAGAUCGUCAACUUGUUUGCGAUUUUGCCGAUGCUACCGUUAGUGUUCCAUGCAUGCUAUGCCUUCGUUCUUGCCAUGUGUAGCUAGCACAUUGUGCCUUCUUGCUGGUUAUAUGCUUUCCUUGCCAUGACUUGCACCGUAGUGAGUGCAUCAAGCUCGUUUUCAUGCCUUCGUGAGUUAUAUUUCAGCGUGUCUCAGUUUUCACUAAGUCUGAAAACUGAUUGUGUUCGAGCUAUGUUCGUGAGCUCGGUAGAGUAUUUUGUGAACCCUUUUGGCCCCAGGUCACUUUGGGUGUUUUGUUAAGCUUGUUGAGUAGCUCCAUGCCAUCUUCUUACUUGUCAUGUUCAGGUUUUCUAUCAUGUUGUUUUGCUGCUCCGAAGAGAGCAUCAUGAUCUGAAAUUUCAGACUAGUGUUAAUUUCACUAAGUCUGGAAUCUGUUUUGCAUUUGCGUUUUAGCCAUGCUUGUUUGAACCUCUUAAUGGAUGAAUUUGCCUAUGGCUCAGUGCUAGUGUUUUGUCAACCAUCUUGAGUACAUCACUGCCAUGUAUUUUGUUUUCAUGAUUGGUGGCUGUAGCAUGUUCAUUUCGUUGCAUUUAGAUGCCUACUUGCUGCAAAUCGCAGACCGGUGUCGUAUCUUAAAACGCUUGCCAUUUCCAAACCGUAGCUCCGAUUCCAAUGAUCUUUAUAUCGUUUUCAAUCAAUUUCAUCCCCUCUAUCCAGUGGCACACUUGGUUUUCCAAGUUGAUGCCAGGUUCAUGCAUUUCCUGUCAUAUCUUGCAUUUUGCAUCCCGCAUCGCAUCCCGCAUAGCAUAUCGUCAUUUCAUCAUAUUGCUUGGACUUGCCCGUGGUUGAUUGUAUCCUUGUUGCUUGUUUGUCUUGUUGGGUAGAGCCGGGAGACGAGUUCGCUACCGAGGAGCCCGUUGAGUUUGCUUGUGAGGAUCCAGUCAACUCUGACAACUGUGCAGGCAAGAUGAUCAUACCCUCGAAAUCACUACUAUCUUUGCUAUGCUAGUUUGCUCGCUCUUUUGCUUGCCACUGCUACGAUGCCUACCAUUUGCUUGUCAGCCUCCCAAUUGCAUGAUUGAACCUCUAACCCACCAUUGUCCUAGCAAACCGUUGAUUGGCUAUGUUACCGCUUUGCUCAGCCCUUCUUAUAGCGUUGUUAGUUGCAGGUGAAGAUUGGAGCCGUUCCUUGUUGGAACAUUUAUUUUACUUGUUGGGAUAUCAUUAUAUUGCUAUGUUAUCUUAAUGCAUCUAUAUACUUGGUAAAGGGUGGAAGGCUCGGCCUCUCGCCUAGUGUUUUGUUCCACUCUUGCCGCCCUAGUUUCCGUCAUAUCGGUGUCAUGUUCCCGGAUUGUUGCGUCCCUUACACGGUUGGGCUAUAAUGGGAACCCCUUGAUAGUUCGCCUUGAUUAAAGCUUUUCCAGCAAUGCCCAACAUUGGUUUUACCAUUUGUCACCUAGCCUCUUUUUCCCUUGGGUUUCCGGAGCCCGAGAGUCAUCGUAUUUUAGCCCCCCUGGGCCAGUGCUCCCUCUGAGUGUUGGUCCGAACUGAGCUGCCUGCGGGGCCACCUCGGGGAAACAUGAGGAUUGGUUUUACUCGUAGCUAGUCUCAUCUGAGUGUGCCCUGAGAAAGAGAUAUGUGCAGCUCCUAUCGGGAUUUGUCGGCACAUUCGGGCGGUGUUGCUGGACUUGUUUUAACCUGUCGAAUUGUCUUGUUGUACCGGGUUACCGAGUCUGAUCGGUGUGUCCCGGGUGGAGGUCUAUUCCUUCGUUGACCGUGAGAGCUUGUCAUGGGCUAAGUUGGGACUCCCCUGCAGGGAUUGAACUUUCGAAAGCCGUGCCCGCGGUUAUGGGCAGAUGGGAAUUUGUUAAUGUCCGGUUGUAGAUUACUUGAACUAAACUUAAUUAAAAUGAAUCAACCGUGUGUGUUACCGUGAUGGCCCCUUCUCAGCGGAGUCUGGGAAGUGGACACGGUGUUGGAGUUAUGCUUGCGCAGGAUGUUCCUUUAGCUUCUCGCUCGUGCUUCGCCUUCUCUUCUCGCUCUCUUUCGCGUAUAAGUUAGCCACCACAUAUGCUAGUCGCUUGCUGCAGAACCACAUAUAUUUGCCUUAUCCAUUCCUAUGAGCUUAAAUAGUUUUUAUCGCGAGGGUGCGAGAUUGCUGAGUCCCUGUGGCUCACAGAUACUAUAACUCCAGAUGCAGGUCCAGGUGAUUCCGCUCCAGGUGACGAGUACGAGCUCAAGUGGGAGUUCGACGAGGACUCUCAGCGUUAUUAUGUUUCCUUUCCCGAUGAUCAGUAGUGGUGCCUAGUUGGGGAUCGAUUCAGGGCCUUGUCGCAUGUUGGGUUCUUUUCUAUUUUGGCGCCGUAGUCGGGCCAUGAGUGUUUGUUUGAUGGAUGUUAUUUAUGAACUCUGAUGUGACGUGGCGAGUGUAAGCCAACUAUGUUAUCUCCCCCUUUUAUUAUGUAUUACAUGGGAUGUUGUAAUGAUUGCCUAACUUGCGACAUUGCUUUCAAUGCGGUUAUGUCUCUAAGUCGUGCCACGACACGUGGGAGCUAUAGCCGCAUCGAGGGCGUUACAUGAGACCCCCUUUCCUGGCUAAGCGAGUCGAUCUGCUGUUGUUGCCGCUGCAAUUUGAGUGCCAAGUCCGUGUGCGCUGAUUCUAGGCCUUGAAGGCAUUCUGCUUCCUGAUUCCUCUGCUCGUACUCUAGCUUCUUCUUCUUCUCCUCCUCCAUCUUCCUUCUUGCACGACUUCUGUAGUCAGCGUUCCAGUCAGGAAAGCCCUCAUACCACGGAACAACGCCCUUGCCUCGUGUUCUUCCCAGGUUUUCAGGAUUUCCCAGGGCGCGUGUAAGCUCGUCGUUCUCUUUGUUGGGCGUGAACACCCCCUUUCGAGCUUCUUCUAUUGCUUCAACUAACUUACCAUCGGCUCCUUUAAGACAUGCCUUCUUCGAAAUCUGGCUUGUCAUCGGGUCCAACGCACCCCCAUGCGCAUAGAACCAAGUUCUGCACCUGGGGGGCUAGCUCAAUGUAACUGGAGUGACCUGUGCAGCCAGCAUCUCCUACUCAGACUUAUCCCACUUAGGCAUUACCACCGCGUAGCCACUUGGCUCCAGCCUAUGGAAUUCCUCUUUUUUGCAGCAUUGGCCUUGCUUUUUCUGGAUCGUUCCUUAGAUAAUUCUGAUUCCUUGAAUUUCAGGAAAGCGGGCCAGUGUUCUCUUUGCUUCUCUAGUGUUCCCUUGAAUUCUGGAGUCUUUUUUCCUGCUUUGACGUAGUUAUUCCAUACAGUUUUCUUAUGGUUGUUGAAUGCAAUUGUCAUCUUCCUAAGAGCAGCGUCCUUAACUUUCUCCACAUCUGCAGCUGUGAAAUGAUCUGGUAGGGUGAAAUGUUCAAUGAGAUUUUCCCAAAGCGCAGUUUUUGCUCUGUCAUCGACAAAAGUAAGAUCUUGACGGGGCUUUGAUGGCUCUUUCCAUUCCUGAAGGGAGAUCGGGAGUUUGUCCUUCACAAGAACUCCGCACUGAUUAACGAACUUGUUAGCAAUGUUCUUCAGCGCUAUUGGUUCGCCAUUAGUUUUGAUGGCAUCGAUGUUGUACUUUACGCCCUCCUUCAACUUUUUGCCCGGGCCUCGCACUCUGCCUGUAGAAGAUUUGCUCGAUCCGGAGGGCUGAAAGAAGAAAGAUCGAUUCGUUAAUAUAUCUUCAAAUCAUUUAAAACAUGUGAGAUCACCAGAUGCCUGCUUAUAUAAAUAUACCUUGCUUGUCUCUGUUAUUUCAAGAUCAACAUUUUCUUUGCCAAUUUCAAGAUCAACAUUUUCUUCGCCAUCAUAAUCAUAGUCGUUGUCCAUGACUUCAUCAAUUCGGUCACCGCGAUCGAAUAUCAUCUCAUCAUCACCCUCACCGGUAUUGUUUAGAUAUUGGGAGCCGUCCUCUUCUUCAUUUCGAUCAUCUGACCCGCGAGGGGAGCGUAUGAUCUCGAACAGGGCCUCUUCUCCCUCUCUGCUGGUAUUGUCCACCAUAGAUUUUAUUUAACUAAUCCAGAAGAAAUAUAAAACAAUUUAGUAUUCAAAUUACAAUGCAUGCAUGCAAUCAAGAAGGAAAUCCUGAAUCAUAGUACAUAAUAUGCAUCAUCUCGAAUAAUAUAUAAUCUCGAAUACAUCGUCUCAAAUAUUAUAUAUCGAAUACAAAUCGAAUACUACAGAAUAAUCUAGGCCACUCGCGGUUCCUGAGGCGCGGGCGGUGGACACCCAAAGAGAAGGAACCAUCACAAGAUCACAACUCCGGUCAUCUCUCCAAAGAACCUGCCACGUAUUGGAGAACCUGACGUCCAUAGCAGCCAUGUAGCGACGGACGUGCUCGUCCUCCUCCCUGAUAUGGCGACGCACCACCUCCGGUAGGGCCGGCUCCCUCCGCACCGAAAGUGGCCCACGGGAACCCCACCAUAGGAGCUCAGGGUUGACGACGGGACCCGAGGGCUGGUUCCUCACCAAGCGGCGAGCCCCUGAAGGUAGCACCUCCCAGUGCCAGCCCGACGGAGCCCAGUCCCGGACAUGGGUCCUCUGAAGCAGGACGUCGUCGUGAACGGGUCGACGGCGAGGAUGCGGGCCGGGCAUCGUCGAGAACAAAUACUAUACGCCGCAAAAGUAACAAUUUUUAAAUGAUUGGAUUGUGAUUUCUUAUAUGCAAUUCUAAAUUCUAUAAUUAAAUUAUAAGAAACUGAAAACUAACAUUUCUAUAACAAUUUGAAAUUAAUCUAAUUCAUCUAGCUAAAACUAACAUUUCUAAAAUUUCUAACAUUUCUAACAUUUCUAUAUACUAUUUGACAUUACUCUAAUCUAACUAAUUAAUUCAUCUAAAACAUUUGUAUAAAAAACAGAAAAAACUAAAAACUAAAAACAGAAUUGUGUGUGUGUGUGUGUUUGUGUGUGUGCGGGUGUCUGUGUGUGCACCUACGGCGCCGGCGGCGCAGCGGCUUUGACUGGAGGGAGGAGAGGGGCCGGAGAGAGGGGCUCACAGCGUGGGUGAGGUCGAGGCGAUGGUGACGGCGAGGCGAGGGGACAGCGAGGCAGAGGGGAAGGCGAGGCAGACGGUGACGGGUACGAUGACGGGGGCGGCGACGGCGACGGGGACGGUGACGUACAGUGAUGGGGGCUUCGAUGAGGGGCGGCGGCGACGGGGCAGAGGAGAACAAGUAGAGGGAGAGGACGAAACUGAUGAAUUUUUGAAGUGUUACUUAUAUAGGACCACCCCUUUAGUACUGGUUGGAGCCACCAACUGGUACUAAAGGGCUGUUUUGGCCAGGCGAAGCGGCGGGAAGUGCCCCCCCUUUAGUACCGGGUGGUGGCUACAACCGGUACUAAAGACCCCCCUUUAGUACCGGUUCGUUCCACGACCCGGUACUAAAGGGGGUGCGCUGGCACAGGUGCGGUACGGGCAAGUUUAGUCCCACCUCACUAGCCGAGGGGCGCCCGCGCCUGUUUAAAAGCCCCGGCGCGGCUACUCUCUCGAACUCCUCUCUAUAGCAGGCUUCUGGGCCUAACUCUUCUCUCUGCCCUAUGGGCCUACUGGGCCUUGCAGGCCUGCAUCCUGGCCCAACUACAGGUUGGGUUACUAGUCGUAUGAAGGCCGAUGUGGCCCAGUAGGUGGGCUCUUUUUAUUUAGUUUUUGUCUCAAAGAAAAAUUAGUUUUUUUCUUUUCUACUUUACUUAUUUUCAUUUAUUUAUUUCUGAAUAUUUUUUCUUGAGGUACAAAAAAUUACAAACUUUCUGUUAGUGCCAAUUGCUGGUGUCAAAACCGGCGGAUCUCGGGUAGGGAGUCCCGAACUGUGCAUCUAAGGCUAAUGGUAACAGGAGGCUGGGGACACGAUGUUUACCCAGGUUCAGGCCCUCUCGAUGGAGGUAAUACCCUACUUCCUGCUUGAUUGAUCUUGAUGAUAUGAGUAUUACAAGAAUUGAUCUACCACGAGAUCGUAGAGGCUAAACCCUAGAAGCUAGCCUAUGAUUCUGAUUGUUCUCAUCCUACGGACUAAACCCUCCGGUUUAUAUAGACACCGGGGGGGCUAGGGUUACACAGAGUCGGUUACAGAGAAGGAGAUCUAACAUCCGAAUCGCCAAGCUUGCCUUCCACGCAAAAGAGAGUCCCAUCCGGACACGGGACAAAGUCUUCAAUCUUGUAUCUUCAUAGUCCAACAGUCCGGCCAAAGUAUAUAGUCCGGCUGUCCGGAUACCCCCUAAUCCAGGACUCCCUCAGUAGCCCCUGAACCAGGCUUCAAUGACGAUGAGUCCAGCACGCAGAUUGUCUUCGGCAUUGCAAGGCGGGUUCCAUCUCCGAAUACUCCGUAGAGGAUUUUGAACACAAGGAUCGUGCCCGGCUCUACAAAAUAAUUUCCACACACCACCAUAGAGACCACAAUACUUUACAAACCUAAUCUACUGACAAUUUUUCACAGCGUGCCCUCAUGCCGCGGCCUGGUUUAACAUGAACCGUUUUUCUCAGCCUGCCAUGACACGCACUGCAAGGUGGUUUUAUUGGCACGUCUUGUUGAAGCAGAGAUCGUGUCCCCCUUAUCGCGGCAUUCUCAUCAAUAUAGGUGCGAGUAACCCAACUACGCCUGUUGUCAUGACUACUUGUUUUUAGGCAAAUCCCAAACGGUUACACUGAGGACGCUUGACAUUCACCCCCUUUAUAGAGGGGUCGAGGCCUAUCCCUUUCUUCCCACGCUUGCGCCUUUCUGCACCUCGAGUUCCAACACUCGAAGCUCAAGCUUAAGCACUUUGGAUCUUCAAUCAUGUCUGGAUCCAACCUUCAAGGCCGGUGGAUGGCCUCCUCUAUCACAGAGGAAUACAUUGCGAAGCUCAGGGAGGCCAGAUAUCUGACCUCCGACGUCAAGCACAGGCUUCCUGCUCCAGGGCAGGUUAUCCCCACUCCAGAACCCAACGAGAGCGUUGUAUUUUUUCCCACUUCCUCCGAGGCUUAGGCUUUAGUCUUGAUCCCUUCGUGAGAGGGAUCAUGUUCUAUUACGGGCUAGAUUUUCACGAUCUAGCUCUAGAUUCCAUCCUUCACAUCUCAUUGUUUAUCGCCGUGUGCGAAGCCUUCUCCACAUCACCCCACACUUCGGCUUAUGGCUCAAGACCUUCAAUGUAAAGCCGAAGGUGAUCAAGGGGCGACCCGCGGAGUGCGGAGGCACUGCAAUAAGCAGAAACACCAAUGCCCCAUGGCUAGAGGGUUCCUUCCCGGAGGUGUCCGAUUUAUGGCAACGGAGGUGGUUCUACAUCACAGCUCCCCGAGGCACAAAGUGGGCGGUUGCCUCCGCCUUCCGCUCGGGCCCUCUGCCUCAACUGGCGUCGUGGGCCAACGUGGGACUGGACUGGGGGCCUGCUAAUGACGUACCGACAUUGUAGAGCCGCAUUCGGGAGCUUCUUGAGAGGGAUAUUAGUCUUGUCAGAAUAAUUCAGGUAAUGCUAGUUCGGCGGGCCCUGCCGUGCAAACGUCGACCUCUCCGGAUGUGGGAGUUCAACCCAGAAGGUCCGCGAACUAUUCAGCACUUCUUCGGCAUGACGCUCGAAGGGAUGUAUAGGUUAUUCUUCGGACCACGAAUAAAGUGUCCGGAUACCACCAAGAAUGCGGGCCUGAGCUGUAACCGCCUAGAUACCCAAGUAAGUAACCCUGUAACCGAACACUUCAUGUAUAUUUAUCACAACAUUAUUCUAAAAACUGUUUGCGGCCAGGAUUGGCUCAGCAAGGCGGAGAGGAUCAGAUGUCCGGCCCCACUUCCCGAAGGCUCGCCUAAUCCUACGAUAGCCAGGAUGCUUAGAGGUGCGCUAAAUUAAGUGCCCCCGGGGAAAGAUGAAGGGAAGAAUAGAGAAGCCGAGCUUCACACAUUGCACAUCCAAACCGGGGGAAUUACUGUCUCCACGAAGGAGGAUAAUCGGGGAGGUGAAUCUAAGGUUUCCUCCCCCCGUGGGAAGAAAAGGGCCGCCUCCGAAGACUUGGAAACAGAGGUGCCUAAACAAGGGAAGAAAACUUCACCAGGGGGCCUUGCCCCAAAGGGCGUCCUCACUGCACCAUGCCUGCAAACGGGCCAGCCCUCCAUCGAGCUGUAAGUUAAUUGUAAUAAAAAGGUAUUGCUUCCUCCUCCGAGAACAAUAACCAGGAUCUAUCCUUUGCAGUCCGGCUAGUAGCUCUUCUCAACAUAGUUCGUCUUUGGGGAAUCUUCUUCUGGAGAUGAUGGAGAGUGAAACCCCACCUGCCUCUCCACCCCAUGGGGCGGGCGACCCUGAGGUGUCGUCACAGAUGAUUCCAGAUCCGUCGAGGCCAGAAGCUAACACUUCGGCCACCCGGAGCCCGGAGUGUUCGGCUCCCACAGAGGGCAAUAGGAAGGGUCCGGGACAGUCCGGCGCCCGGCCGGACACACGGACGGGCCUUCUGGAGCAAGCUGCUCUCUUAGAGGAUCACCGUACGUUUAUGGGUAUGGUGUUUGAGAAGAUUUCAUCCGCCACAAGCGGGUUGAAUGAAGCUUUUAUGAGCCUGCUCAAAGGCUUUGAGGUACGCAACGAAACACAUAAUUUUUUGGUUGUACCGCACGCGCUAGGUGUGCUCCGUAUAGAUAGUAGCCCUGAGAAUUUGGUUGCCAGCCCUAGGCGGCAAAUGGAUGAUCACACUCCAAAGUAAUGUUUGCACUGCAUUCAUGCGAAGGUGGCUAAGGGUCCGGCGGUAGACCGAACCGCUGAAUUCGCCAAACUGAGGUGACAGAUUGAUGUGGUGAACGCCGACAUCACGCUUGUAAACAAGCGGCUUGACAAGUCACAGAGUAUGUGCUCUUUUUUCCUCAUUUGUUUAGGAAAUAUUAAGAGGAGCAUAAUGUUAAUAUGAUAUGUUGUGGCUGCAGGCGGAGCUGCUGCCGUGGAGGCCCUAAGGGCGAAACUUGCCCUAGCCAAGGAACAAGCCAAGGCUAGCAAUGCGGCUGCCCUAAAGGCGGCCGAAGAUUUAAGAGCUGAACAGUCUGCUCAUCACCGAAGCGAAGAUAAAAUAGCCGAGAUGGCUGUAGAGCUGAGGGACGCCGCCGGCCGAUAUGAGCUCCUUGAAAAGGAGAGUCACGCGAAGUCGGCUGACCUGAAGAAGGCCCUAGAUGCAGCCAAGGAGACGCGCUCUGAAAUUAGAGCUGCGUGGGAGGAGCUUCGACAGGCCGGAGACAACGCGGCUGGAAGCCCCUAUUUGUUGCGGAUGAAGUUCAGAGAUCCAAAAUAUGCUCCUCUGGAUCAGUCUUGGAGCACUGCAGACACGUAUGUGGAUCUAGCAAAAAGUACGGCUGAUGCAACCAAGUUCUUCAAGGAUAAAAAAGAUAAUGAAAUCGAAAGGUUGUUCUGGUCGCAAUUCAGUGCUCCAACACGCCCGUUGCCAUUGAGUGAGAGGAUGGACGCUAUGGCCGAGCUCCAUAGGUUGUCCGGUCUUGCAAUAAGGUCUCUAAUACACCAUCUAUGGUCGAAGGGACCAAGGCCGGGCAGUUAUUUUGGUUUAGUGCAACAAUUCCUUGGCGUCGUAUCGUGAAUCGAUGCCGUGAAGAGAUCGGCGUGCAUAGCGGGUGCGUGGAUGGCUCUUGCCCGUGUUAAAACAUGUUGGGCAGAUAUGGAGGCCACCAGCAUUGCAACCCAGAGUCCGGCAAGAAGCCAAGACCCAACCGAGCACUAUUUUGAGCAGGUCAUAGAAGGUGCCCGUUUAAUAGAGGCUCAGUGCUCGAAGAGUGCCAUGUUCGAGUGACAAUUCGUUCAAUUGUAAAAACAAUUCUAUUUAAUUAUAAAGGUUGUGUUUAUACUUUCGCCUGAAAGUGUUAUAGUGCCUUCUGUGCGGCCGUUUAUGUAUGUAUGUAACCUGAAAGUUAGCAGUCGUUGGCUUCAGCCCCCACGCAUAUAAUGCGGGGGUGUUCACAAAAAUGUGCGUAAUUACACUUGAUCCAGCGUCUUGGUCCAUUAAGGAGGUGAUCACACGUCGAACUAGGCAACCGGACUAUAUAGCUUUAACACUUUCACUUAGCCAUGGGAGUUUGACGGUGGGGCUACUAUGUAGCCCCUGAUACCUCCGCGUGCAUCUGGAUACGGGUGCGUAUGUACAUGACCGGGAAACGGUCCUUCGUUAAUGCGGAGGAAUCCCGAAGAUUCCAAUGAGUCCUCGAGUGGUUGACCAGUCUCUCGCUGUAUCAUGACAGUCAGUUUUCGGCUUUCUCUACUGAGGUGCUCAUCCGGAAUAACCAGGGCACAAUCGCAGUAGUUCUCCUUUGGACGCCUUAGCCGAUAGAACGGAACAUAAGGCAGCAAACCCAGGAGCCGAGCAAACCCAACAUUUGACGCAAUACAUGAUUCGGAUCUGAUGCAUAUAAGGCCAAACUCGCGACGCUGAACACUCCCGAAGGUAUUCGGACUUUAUAACGUAUACUGGGCUAAGUAAUGCCCUCGAUUAUGAACCCUGUAUUUCCAGGUAUGUGCAUUAAUCUGUCGUGGUGAAAUCCCAAUAACGCCUGUAUCCCCUGUGGGUGUAUUGAAUACCCGUGGGAUGUCAAGCAACAAGAGACAGUAAAGAAGGUUUACACAGGGGCUUAAUCUAAAGAGAAACCUUUGAGCGGGGCCCUGCUGCACGUCUGCGCCUUUGUCUCCGUUGUGCCGUAUCCUGGAAGGGUGUCGCACGAAUGGUGUCUGUAAAAAGGAAAACUCAUGUAAAAGAGUAUGGAGUAAGCGUGCGAAAAGUUGGUUAUUGUCAAUGGAUAGUAGAAAUCUGAGAUAUUGGUAUAUUAAUAAGGUCAAGCCGAAUUAUGGGCUUUGUUACAUGUUUGGAGCCCCUAGUACCAUCUAUGGGGGUAUAUGUAUAGCCCCUAGCUCAGGUUUAUCUGGGUUGUUGCCGACGGUGGUGCACCAGACUCAUCUAACUGUGUUCGUGGUCUUAACGACCGAUCAUGCAUUCUAAGGGAGAGGCCGCUUAGUGUCCGGCUGCUAGAGCCGCCACAUACUCUUCCGCACGUAAGGAACACUCUGUGUUUCCGCUAAUAGUGAUGACGCCACAUGGACCGAGCAUCUUGAGUUUAAGGUAGGCGUAGUGUGGUACUGCGUUGAAGCGAGCGAAGGCCAUUUUUCCGAGUAAUGCAUGAUAACCGCUUCGGAAGGGAGCUAUGUCGAAGAGUAAUUCUUCGCUUCUGAAGUUGUCGGGAGAACCGAAUGUCACCUAUAACACGAGGGAGCCCCUGCAGCGGGCAUCAACGCCUGGUAUCACUCCUUUAAAGGUGGUGUUACUUUCGCUGAUUCUUGAUGGGUCUAUCCCCAUCUUGCGGACGGUGUCCUGAUAUAUCAGAUUAAGACUACUGCCGCCGUCCAUGAGGACUCGAGUGAGAUGGUAUCCAUCGAUUAUUGGGUCGAGCACCAAGGCAGCCGAUCCUCCGUGUCGGAUAGUAGUCGGGUGGUCCCUACGAUAAAAAGUGAUCGGACAGGCCGACCAACGGUUGAAUUUGGGGGCGACGGAUUCUACAGCAUAUACGUCUCUGAGCGCGCAUUUGCGCCUUCUCUUUGGUAUGUGAGUCGCGUAGAUCAUGUUUACUGUUUUGACUUCUGGUGGGAAUUUUUUAUGUCCCCUAGUGUUCGGCUGGCGAGGGUCAUCCUUGUCUUCACUUAGUGUUUCCCUUCCCUUGUGUUCGGCAUUUAACUUGCCGGCCUGUGAAGCCCCAGAUUCAAUCGUACACUAAUCAUGCACGCAAACGUAUACGGUCAAGAUCAGGGACUCACGGGAAGAUAUCACAACACAACUCUAAAAACAUAAAUAAGUCAUACAAGCAUCAUAAUACAAGCCAGGGGCCUCGAGGGCUCGAAUACAAGUGCUCGAUCAUAGACAAGUCAGCGGAAGCGACAAUAUCUGAGUACAGACAUAAAUUAAACAAGUUGUCAUAAGAUGGCUAGCACCAACUGGGAUACAGAUCGAAAGAGGUGCAGGCCUCCUGCCUAGGAUCCUUCUAACUACUCCUGGUCGUCGUCAGAGGCCUGCACGUAGUAGUAGGCACCUCCGGUGUAGUAAGAGUCGUUGUCGACAGUGGCGUCUGGCUCCUGGGCUCCGGCAUCUAGUUGCGACAACCAGGUAGAAGGGAAAGGGGGAAAAGAGGGAGAAAGCAACCGUGAGUACUCAGCCAAAGUACUCGCAAGCAAGGAGCUACACUACAUAUGCAUGGGUAUAUGUGUAAAAAGGCAAUAUCGGUGGACUGAACUGCAGAAUGCCAGAAUAAGAGGGGGAUAGCUAGUCCUAUCGAAGACUACGCUUCUUGCAGCCUCCGUCUUGCAGCAUGUAGAAGAGAGUAGAUUGUAGUCCUCCAAGUAGCAUCGCAUAGCAUAAUCCUACCCGGCGAUCCUCCCCUCGUCGCCCUGUGGAAAAGCGAUCACCGGGUUGUCUGUGGAACUUGUCUGGGUGCGUUUUAUUAAGUAUCCGGUUCUAGUUGUCAUAAGGUCAAGGUACAACUCUGGGUCGUCCUUUUACCGAGCGACAUGACUAUUCGAAUAGAUAAACUUCCCUGCAGGGGUGCACCACAUUUCCCAACUCGCUCGAUCCCAUUUGGCCGGACACACUUUCCUGGGUCAUGCCCGGCCUCAGAAGAUCAACACGUCGCAGCCCCACCUAGGCACAACAGAGAGGUCAACAUGCCGGUCUAAAUCCUAUGCGCGCAGGGGUCUGGGCCCAUCGCCCAUUGCAAACCUGCACGUUGCGAGGGCGGCCGGAAGCAGACCUAGCCUCCCUUAUACAAGAGUAGGCGUUCCAGUCCAAUCCGGCGCGCGCCGCUUCGUCGCUGACGUCAAGAAGGCUUCGGCUGAUACCACGACGUCGAGUGCCCAUAUCUUUCCCGCGUAGUUGGUUAGUGCGUAUAGGCCAGUGGCCAGACUUAGAUCAAAUACCAAGAUCUCGUUAAGCGUGUUAUUAUGAAAUAACCACGAACGCCGACCAGGGCUAGGCCCACCUCUCUCCUAGGUGGUCUCAACCUGCCCUGCCGCUCCGCCACAAAGGAACAGUCGGGGGCCCUCAGGAACCCAGGCCCACCUCUACCGGGAUGGAGCCACCUGUCCUUUCAGCCACCCACAUCGGAAUCACUUGCGGGUACUCAACAAGCUGACCCGACUUUAGUCACCAUCUGUAUAGUAUGUAUAUAUGAAUAGUAUAUACCCGUGAUCACCUCUCAAGUGAUCACGACCCAAUAGUAUAGCAAGGCAAACUGACAAGAAUGUAGGGCCAAUGAUGAUAAACUAGCAUCCUAUACUAAGCAUUUAGGAUUGCGGGUAAGGUAUCAAUGACUGUAGCAACAACGACAGGCUAUGCAACAGAAUAGGAGUAACCGAACAGUAACAUGCUACACGUCUCUAAUGCAAGCAGUAUAGAGAAGAAUAGGCGAUAUCUGGUGAUCAAGGGGGGGCUUGCCUGGUUGCUUUGGCAAGAAGAAGGGGUCGUCAACUCCGUAGUUGAACUGGGGGUCACUGGCAGUCUCGAGGUCUACCGGAAAGAAGUAACGGAGGGGGAACACAAUAAAUAACAGAGCAAUCAAAGCAUCACAAAGCGUAACAAGACAAUACAUGGUGUUCGGUGUGCCCUAACGCGAUAGUAGGUGAUACCGGUGAAGGGGGGAAACAUCCGGGAAAGUAUCCCCGGUGUUUCGCGUUUUCGGACAGAUGAAUCAGAGGGGGAAAGUUGCGUUUUCGCUAUGCCAGGGAUGUGUGGCGGACAAACGGGCUGCGUAUUCGGAUUCGUCUCGUCGUCUUGAGCAACUUUCAUGUACAAAGUUUUUCCAUCCGAGUUACGGAUUAUUUUAUAUUGAUUUUUUAAAGUUUUAAUUCAAUUUUGGAAUUAAUAGAUUUUAAUUAAUUAGAAAAGGUAAUUAUUAGGUCAGGUGACAUCAGCAUGAUGUUAGCAGGUCUACAGGUUGACUAGGUCAACCUUGGCACGUGGGGCCCGUUCGUCAUAGUCUCAAGUUAAUUAAACAGGGUUAAUUAGUUUAACUAAGUGAUUAGGUUAAUUAAUUUUAAUUAGAUUAGUUAAAUAGGAUUGAUUAACUUAAUUAACUAAUUGAUUAAUUAAUUGCUAAUUUAUUUAUUUUAACUCUUCUUUUUAUUUAAAAUUCGUUCUCGGGUGGGCCCCCUUGUCAUUUGGCCAGGGGGCUUAUCGGGCACGGGCGCUAACGGGCGCGGGUUAACGGGGGGUGGAGCGGAGCAAAGCCACGAGGCUCACGGGCGCGAGCGCCGGCGGCCGGCAGCCGCGCGGGCGGCGACCCGAGCAGGGCUGGGGGAGCAGCACCACAUCAGGCAGCGGGGCGACCAAGUAGCGCCAUGGCGCGGGCGCGGCCAGGCCACCGUGGGGGAGGGGGGUUCGGCACGGCGAGGAGCGAACGACUGUUAUUGGGUCAGCGGAGAGCGGACGCGGCCGGUGCAGCGGGCAAGGACGGCCAUGCGCGGGUGGUUGCGGGAGCACUGCGAGGGCACGGCAGGGUGCAGGGUCGCGGACGGGGGCUCGCGGGGAGCGUGUGCGGCGGGUUGCAGAGAGCCGCAGGGGGGGUCGUCGGGCGCUGUGAGCAUGCGCUNNNNNNNNNNNNNNNNNNNNNNNNNNNNNNNNNNNNNNNNNNNNNNNNNNNNNNNNNNNNNNNNNNNNNNNNNNNNNNNNNNNNNNNNNNNNNNNNNNNNNNNNNNNNNNNNNNNNNNNNNNNNNNNNNNNNNNNNNNNNNNNNNNNNNNNNNNNNNNNNNNNNNNNNNNNNNNNNNNNNNNNNNNNNNNNNNNNNNNNNNNNNNNNNNNNNNNNNNNNNNNNNNNNNNNNNNNNNNNNNNNNNNNNNNNNNNNNNNNNNNNNNNNNNNNNNNNNNNNNNNNNNNNNNNNNNNNNNNNNNNNNNNNNNNNNNNNNNNNNNNNNNNNNNNNNNNNNNNNNNNNNNNNNNNNNNNNNNNNNNNNNNNNNNNNNNNNNNNNNNNNNNNNNNNNNNNNNNNNNNNNNNNNNNNNNNNNNNNNNNNNNNNNNNNNNNNNNNNNNNNNNNNNNNNNNNNNNNNNNNNNNNNNNNNNNNNNNNNNNNNNNNNNNNNNNNNNNNNNNNNNNNNNNNNNNNNNNNNNNNNNNNNNNNNNNNNNNNNNNNNNNNNNNNNNNNNNNNNNNNNNNNNNNNNNNNNNNNNNNNNNNNNNNNACGCGGUGAGGCGGCGGGUGCGGCUUCGGGCGACGGCGAUGUCCGUCCUCCUCCUCUCGAUCCCGAUCCAAUCGGGAGAGAGGGGGCAGUGAUAUUUUGCGGGGGGGAGUGAGGUGUCGGUGGCGGUUCGGGUUUCUGGGGGGAGUGGAUAAGGGGAGUGGGGGGUGGCCGGCUGGGCCUGGUGGGUUGGCCAGUGGAGCUGAUGGCCUACUGGGCCGGAGCCCGGGGGUUCCUCCUUUUGUUUUUUUGUUUUUCUCUUUUUUGUAAUUUCUUUCUUUUCUUUAAUUUUCUUUUCUGUUAUAUUUAAUUUAAAGCACUUAGGCACUUUGUAAAAUUAUGUUUUCUUCACUAUAACUACCUAAGUGAUAUUAGGCACUACCCGAACAUUUUUGUUAUAACUUUUGAAAACUUUUGAUGUUUGCCUUUAAUUCAAAUUUGAAUUUGAAUUGGUUUUGAACUAACGUGAGUUUAUCAACAAUAACCGAGGUGACGUGGCAUCAUUAGCGUGGAAUUACUGUAGCUUAAUUAUCCGGGCGUCACAAUUCUCCUCCACUACAAGAAAUCUCGUCCCGAGAUUUAAGAGGGGAAGUAAGGGGGAAAUGUUUUGGUUACGAAAAAUCUAACGGGUCUUCUCGCUCCUGGUUUCCCUUCUUGAAGAGGUUGAUCCGUUACGUUGAUGUCUUCAUUUCUCCUCUUCAGGUCAUCAUGGUGAAGUCGUCCUUUUCUUCGGGAACUCCAACGUACUUACAAAUAGGUAAGGGGCAGCUCGGCUACGAUAGAAUGCUUAGGAGGGAAUCAAUCUAGGGUUAACCCGUGAAUGAGCAUAAGAUUAUCUCUCGAGUUGAACAUAUAGAAUACAUCAAGAGUAAGGUACGAAGGUACAAUAAGAGGUUCCAAGCGAAUAGAUAGUUUCUCGAAGUCUGAACCAGAGUGAGAAAGGGGUUCAGAGCAGCGAGAGUAAGUAUUGCGUCUGAUACCAGAAUAGAGCACUAGGAAGGUGGCUCAUGAAUUAAAUAUGAAGCCAAGCGUGGGGAAUAACCAUUAGAAAUAGGGUUGUACAGGAGAGUCAGGUUUCAAUUCUGUGGAACUGUGGGUUAUGGGCCCACCAUGUGGGUUAAAAGUUGGAAGGGUGGAGACAUCUUGCAUGAUCAUGCAAGCAAGGCAUGUCAGAGGUAGCCGUCGAUUAUGUCGGCAACAACGUCGGUACCAAGGGCGAGGGACGAAGAGAACCAUUUUCCUGCUCGUUGAACAAGGUGGACCAAUAGGCAAAGUUCUCGUCCAUCGGUGGUUACCGGAAUGUCAUCAACAAUAGUAACAGGGUCUUACUGAUAGAGUUGUACACCGAGGUGUUUACAUAAGCAGGAGAAUAUUACUGCUUAGAUCAUAUAGAUCACAAGAAACGUUAAACCAACCAAUGGAAAGGAAAAUACGAUUAUUAGAUUAAACAGAACAAUGGAAAGGAAAAUGUGUUUAAACACAUAUUUCAAGGGUAUAUCCUUCCCAAGGACAAGAAGAGCAUGAUAUCCAUGAUAGGAUAUAAUGUAGAAAACUCUUCAGGUAGGGGAGAGAAAUUUCAUGACAUUUCCCAUACAGCGGUGUUUGGAUAAUUGAGCAAGAAACAUUUAGCAUUGGGCUUCAAAUGUUCUUUGUUAAAAAUCGGAGUACCCAAACAUGCUUCGAGAUAGCAUUGACAUGGUCGUCAAGCAAAGAUCACACUUCGGAUACACAAAGGAUCCAUCAGGAACAACUUGUAGAAUAAGUCUUACAAUUUCCUCAUGGAAGAAUGGAUAAUCUUGCUAAAAGGAAGAACUAUAACAAUAGGCCCUCCAGCCAGGUGUGCUAGGCAUGACAUCACCUUAUCGAGUCAAAUAAGGACCAACAUUAUGACUCUUGGAAAAUGUUCCAACCAUCAUAUCUGACCAAGAUUUAGAUCUAAUUGGGGUCAGGAUACCUCAGACUCAGGAUGCUUGAGAAGAAAAAGGUGCGAAACAAAUUGACGAGAUGACAUCGAGGAUUCUCGGGAAAUGAACUAUGGAAGCGAGUUCCGAAACAAGAGUUCAUCAUUAAAUCAAGAAGAGGAUGAGGAGGUGACUGAUGGACUCAGCGAUAAUUCAUCGAGGUAUCCAAAAGAUGGAUCUCCACAAUUAUGUGGAUAAGGAGAUAACAUUUGUCAUAUCAAAUGAUAUAAGGAAGUAAGCUCGAGGAAAACAUACACAAUUAAACAUUGGUUGAAAGGUGCGCCCAAAAUAUGGGUUGGGUUGCACGACCAAUGUCAGAAUGGUGAUUCAAUAAUUAAUAGUCUAAGAAUGAACGACCGACCAUUAACUUCUAAGCAAUAGGGUUGCUAGAAGUGCAAAAUCCAAACAACACCGCUCACCUAUUGGUACCCCGGUUGGAAUCAACAUGAGGACCAAGAAAGAAUGGUGAUGAUGAGAAGUAUCACUAUACCAAGAAUUCUUAAGAGGUGGAGUAAUCCUCAUGACAUUCUUGACAUAAAAGAUGGUAACACUCCAAGGUAAAGAAGAAUAAAUGAUGGAUAGCAAGGAACUCAAGGUAUAACACAAAAAACGAACAAGUUUGUGUUGGAGGGAAGGCAAUAAAGUGGCCGAUGAUAACACAACUCAUCAAGGGCAAGGAUGGUAUUUCCCAUGAAGAAUUCAAUAGAUAUCUUGGAAGAGCAUCAAAAUGUUGAUGAUGAUCAUGACACAUUUGUCAAGAGAGUUCAUGAAGAUGUAAUCAAUCGGCGAUGACAUCAAGUCAAAGGAAUGAUGAAGCGAAAGGAUAUUGGAACCACGAGUACGACACAAACUCGAAAUCAAGCUUGCUGUUCAAGGUGAAAUGAUAUGACAAGGGAAAUCGACGCAAGCUUUGCUCAUCGUCGAAAGUGGUGCUCCGAGAAUAAGGACCAGGUAACGCCGUUAAAAUCAUCACGACAAUCAUAUAGCCAAACAGGCUAUGAAUGCCGUGAUCGGGUACAAACUCGUACGCAAGGAAGAUUACUAAGAGUUGUUGAACCGUAGUGCGGACUCGGUUCAGUUAUCGGUGUCUUUGAGUGUUUAAUAACUCGAAGCCCGUGCAAAAUUGGAAUCCGUGAGAAUGUAGUACUUGAUGAAGAACUCGUAAGAAGUUAUGCAGUUCCAUGAUAAUCUCGAGAUACCAGGGGGUGAUACUCGACGAAAGAUCAAAGUAAAGGUUGGGCUGGUGUAUUGAUCCACAGAAGACAAGUGCUUAAACUUGCCCGAGAAAUGGGAUCAAAGAAGAACAUAUGGUCGGAACCACAAUUGCAAAAGAUCAAUUCUCCGAUACCAAAGGAUAUUAUAUCAAGGAAAUAGCUAUUAUCGCAAGAAGCUCCCAUGGUAGGAUCUACAUCGUGUCCAUGGGCAUGAACACAAAGGUUCAAGGUCGAUUCCCACUUCCUCAAUGCAUAACCUUCCAUUCACCUCUCGUAUUUCAAAAAUGACAUUAGUUGUUGAACAUUUUACCUGGUACAAUACCAGAUAAGUAUGACCCGUGAAAUCUUUCGGGUUCGCACCGAUUAGGGAAGGUAAUGGUUCAACCCAUCGGGGCAUCUAGGAAUAUAUACCACAAACUUCACAGUAAAGAACUCAAGCUCGGGAGCUGAGCAUGGUUGACAAAAGCAGGGGAUACAAUUUAUCAAAGGCCUUAUGUAUCUGAGGAAAAGCUCACAAGGUUAAUGAAUACGAAGGACGGUGUCAGACAAAAUCCAACAAAGAACCUGGCGGUCCCUAAGGGAUUUGAUGUGAGCAUCGGUACUCAACCGGAAGAAGAAAGAAUGCAAGGAGAUCUGAUUAUAGAAACAAACGACUAAGUCAAGCUCAAAUGCAAAAGGAAUUAAGAUUUCCAAAUGAAGGGAUCAAAAGCAAACACUCUGAUAAAGGAUGGAUAAUUUGAAUACACUUAGGGGUACAAUCGACGGUAAUUUAAUUGGCUGAGAACCAGCUCAUGUUGAAAAUGAUGUCUGAGCCGGAAUGAUAAUUUUCAGGGAAUAAAUGAUGAUUGUGUGCAUUCACACACAUGUUGAAUUAACAAGAUCAGAAUGUCGAUCACAAAGUAUUUUAAUGAAUAUUGCUAGACAUAUGGAAGUAACCAUUAUGCAAGCAGGUAAAGAAGAUCAAGAGCAAAUAGGCUACUAAGGAUUUUGGAAGAGCCAAUGGCAUUUAGAAGCAUUUUGCGAAACACCUAAACAAUUGGGGAUGAGCGGAUAAUCGAUAAGUGCGAGGAAUUAUCCGUAGGGGUAUUUAUGAGGAAAAGGAGCUGCAAGGCAGCAGACACAAAGGAUUCUCGGAAUAUCCGAGGUAUUUCAGGGUAUCUUGUAAUAUGAAAAUAAAAUUGGAAAUGAAGUUAUGGACGACAAGUGUAUGUAGCUUUCCAUAGGGCUUUAUCGGUGGUAUGGAAAUGCAACGGCGAAGGGCACAAGGGUCUCAAGGAAACAUCGGAGAGUAUCUUCAAAAUUUUCUGGUGCAGCAGGCGAUCAUCUGGACUGAAGGGGCUCACCGGGAGAAAGUAUUAUCGAGAACCUAGAGUCAGAGUUAGUAAAAUUGUUUAACUCGAAUAGAAGAAAUGUCAGAGUCAAAGAGUAUAGGUCGAGGAAUAAAAGAUCCUAAUACCACACAAUGGCGACGUGGGCCCAUAAGGCACACAACCAUGUUAGUAAAAGUUUUUCAAUAACUAGACUCGACUUCGGCCAAGGAGUUGGAAAGGGGUAUUCCUAUAGGCAGUCGGCUCUGAUACCAACUUGUGACAUCCCCGAUUCAAUCGUACACUAAUCAUGCAUGCAAACGUGUACGAUCAAGAUCAGGGACUCACGGGAAGAUAUCACAACACAACUCUAAAAACAUAAAUAAGUCAUACAAGCAUCAUAAUACAAGCCAGGGGCCUUGAGGGCUCGAAUACAAGUGCUCGAUCAUAGACGAGUCAACGGAAGCAACAAUAUCUGAGUACAGACAUAAGUUAAACAAGUUGCCAUAAGAUGGCUAGCACCAACUGGGAUACAGAUCGAAAGAGGCGCAGGCCUCCUGCCUGGGAUCCUCCUAACUACUCAUGGUGGUUGUUAGAGGCCUGCGCGUAGUAGUAGGCACCUCCGGUGUAGUAAGAGUCGUCGUCGACGAUGGUGUCUGGCUCCUGGGCUCCGGCAUCUGGUUGCGACAACCAGGUAGAAGGGAAAGGGGGAAAAGAGGGAGAAAGCAACCGUGAGUACUCAUCCAAAGUACUCGCAAGCAAGGAGCUACACUACAUAUGCAUGGGUAUAUGUGUAAAAAGGCAAUAUCGGUGGACUGAACUGCAGAAUGCCAGAAUAAGAGGGGGAUAACUAGUCCUAUCAAAGACUAUGCUUCUGGCAGCCUCAGUCUUGCAGCAUGUAGAAAAGAGUAGAUUGUAGUCCUCCAAGUAGCAUCGCAUAGCAUAAUCCUACCCGGCGAUCCUCCCCUCGUCGCCCUGUGGAAAAGCGAUCACCGGGUUGUCUGUGGAAGUUGUCUGGGUGUGUUUUAUUAAUUAUCCGGUUCUAGUUGUCAUAAGGUCAAGGUAUAACUCCGAGUCAUCCUUUUACCGAGGGACACGGCUAUUCGAAUAGAUAAACUUCCCUGCAGGGGUGCACCACAUUUCCCAACACGCUCGAUCCCAUUUGGUCGGACACACUUUCCUGGGUCAUGCCCGGCCUUGGAAGAUCAACACAUCGCAGCCCCACCUAGGCACAACAGAGAGGUCAACACGCCGGUCUAAAUCCUAUGCACGCAGGGGUCUGGGCCCAUCGCCCAUUGCACACCUGCACGUUGCGAGGGCGGCUAGAAGCAGACCUAGCCUCCCUUAUACAAGAGUAGGCGUUCCAGUCCAAUCCGGCGCGCGCCGCUCCGUCGCUGACGUCAAGAAGGCUUCGGCUGAUACCACGACAUCGAGUGCCCAUAUCUUUCCCGCGUAGUUGGUUAGUGCGUAUAGGCCAGUGGCCAGUCUCAGAUCAAAUACCAAGAUCUCGUUAAGCGUGUUAUUAUGAAGUAACCACGGACGCCGACUAGGGCCAGGCCCACCUAUCUCCUAGGUGGUCUCAACCUGCCUUGCCGCUCCGCCACAAAGGAACAGUCGGGGGCCGUCAGGAACCCAGGCCCACCUCUACCGGGAUGGAGCCAACUGUCCUUUCAGCCCCCACAUCGGAAUCACUUGCGGGUACUCAACGAGCUGACCCGACUUUAGUCACCAUCUGUAUAGUAUGUAUAUAUGAAUAGUAUAUACCUGUGAUCACCUCCCAAGUGAUCACGUCCCAAUAGUAUAGCAAGGCAGACUAACAAGAAUGUAGGGCCAAUGAUGAUAAACUAGCAUCCUAUACUAAGCAUUUAGGAUUGCGGGUAAGGUAUCAAUGACUGUAGCAACAAUGACAGGCUAUGCAACAGAAUAGGAGUAACCAAACAGUAACAUGCUACACUACUCUAAUGCAAGCAGUAUAGAGAAGAAUAGGCGAUAUCUGGUGAUCAAGGGGGGUUGCCUGGUUGCUCUGGCAAGAAAAAGGGGUCGUCAACUCCGUAGUUGAACUGGGGGUCGCCGGCAGUCUCGAGGUCUACCGGAAAGAAGUAAUGGAGGGCGAACACAAUAAAUAACAGAGCAAUCAAAGCAUCACAAAGCAUAACAAGACAAUACAUGGUGUUCGGUGUGCCCUAACGCGAUAGUAGGUGAUACCGGUGAAGGGGGGAAACAUCCGGGAAAGUAUCCCCGGUGUUUCGCGUUUUCGGACAGAUGAAUUGGAGGGGGAAAGUUGUGUGUUCGCUAUGCUAGGGAUGUGUGGCGAACAAACGGGCUGCGUAUUCGGAUUCGUCUCGUCGUCUUGAGCAACUUUCAUGUACAAAGUUUUUCCAUCCGAGUUACGGAUUAUUUUAUAUUAAUUUUUUAAAGUUUUAAUUCAAUUUUGGAAUUAACAGAUUUUAAUUAAUUAGAAAAGGUAAUUAUUAGGUCAGCGUGACAUCAGCAUGAUGUCAGCAGGUCUACAGGUUGACUAGGUCAACCUUGGCACGUGGGGCCCAUUCGUCAUAGUCUCAGGUUAAUUAAAUAGGGUUAAUUAGUUUAACUAAGUGAUUAGGUUAAUUAAUUUUAAUUAGAUUAGUUAAAUAGGAUUGAUUAACUUAAUUAAUUAAUUAAUUACUAAUUUAUUUAUUUUAACUCUUCUUUUUAUUUAAAAUUCGUUCUGGGUGGGCCCCCUUGUCAUUUGGCCAGGGGGGCUUAUCGGGCGCGGGCGCUAACGGGCGCGGGUUAACGGGGGGUGGAGCGGAGCAAAGCCACAAGGCUCACGGGCACGAGCGCCAGCGGCCGGCGGCCGCGUGGGCGGCUACCUGAGCAGGGCUGGGGGAGCAGCACCACAGUAGGCAGCGGGGCAAGCAAGUAGCGCCAUGAUGCGGGCGCGGCCAGGCCACCGUGGGGGAGGGGGGUUCGGCAUGGCGAGGAGCGAACGACUAUUAUUGGGUCAGCGGAGAGCGGGACGCGGCCGGUGCGGCCUGGAGCGCGGUCGGGCAGGGACGGCCAUGCGCGGGUGGUUGCGGGAGCGCUGCGAGGGCACGGCAGGGUGCAGGGUCACGGACGGCGGCUCGCGGGGAGCGUGUGCAGCGGGUUGCAGAGAGCCACAGGGGGGUCAUCGAGCGCUGUGAGCAUGCGCUGGGCGCGGUGAAGUACGACGCCGGUGCGCGUGAAGGAUAGGGGAAAGAGGGGAGGGCGUGGCCCUCACCGGCGUUGGCGAGUAGGGGGGAUCGGCGUGGCUCGAUGGAGCCGUCGAGGGGGAGACGAGGAAGGGGCGACGAACGAGGCGGAGGAGCUCUGGGCGGCGUUGACGAGCAGCGGCGACGGGGUGGUCCGUCGAUGGGGAGGCCUUCGGGCGACGGCGGACAAGGCGCCGAGCGCGACGAGUACGGCGGGGAUGAGGUGGUGCUGGAGGAGGCGAGCGGUGACGGGGCGCGUCUGGGAGGAAGCGAGGCGGUGAGGCGGCGGAGGCGGCUUCGGGNNNNNNNNNNNNNNNNNNNNNNNNNNNNNNNNNNNNNNNNNNNNNNNNNNNNNNNNNNNNNNNNNNNNNNNNNNNNNNNNNNNNNNNNNNNNNNNNNNNNNNNNNNNNNNNNNNNNNNNNNNNNNNNNNNNNNNNNNNNNNNNNNNNNNNNNNNNNNNNNNNNNNNNNNNNNNNNNNNNNNNNNNNNNNNNNNNNNNNNNNNNNNNNNNNNNNNNNNNNNNNNNNNNNNNNNNNNNNNNNNNNNNNNNNNNNNNNNNNNNNNNNNNNNNNNNNNNNNNNNNNNNNNNNNNNNNNNNNNNNNNNNNNNNNNNNNNNNNNNNNNNNNNNNNNNNNNNNNNNNNNNNNNNNNNNNNNNNNNNNNNNNNNNNNNNNNNNNNNNNNNNNNNNNNNNNNNNNNNNNNNNNNNNNNNNNNNNNNNNNNNNNNNNNNNNNNNNNNNNNNNNNNNNNNNNNNNUCCUCUCGAUCCCGAUCCAAUCGGGAGAAAGGGGGCAGAGAUAUUUUGAGGGGGGGAGUAAGGUGUCGGUGGCGGUUCGGGUUUCUGGGGGGAGUGGAUAAGGGGAGUGGGGGGAGUGGCCGGCUGGGCCUGGUGCGUUGGCCAGUGGGGCUGAUGGCCUGCUGGGCCGGAGCCCGGGGGUUCCUCCUUUUGUUUUUUGUUUUUUUGUUUUUUGUAAUUUCUUUCUUUUAUUUAAUUUUCUUUUCUGUUAUAUUUAAUUUAAAGCACUUAGGCACUUUGUAAAAUUAUGUUUUCUUCACUAUAACUACCUAAGUGAUAUUAGGCACUACCCGAACAUUUUUCUUAUAACUUUUGAAAACUUUUGAUGUUUGCCUUUAAUUCAAAUUUGAAUUUGAAUCGGUUUUGAACUAACGUGAGUUUAUCAACAAUAACCGAGGUGACAUGGCAUCAUUAGCAUGGAAUUACUGUAGCUUAAUUAUCCGGGCGUCACACGGCCUGCUUGAAGACCCAGCAUUUUCUGUGAGUGUGAUUCGCAGGUUUUUUGGGGGUGCCAUGAAUUUGGCACAAUCUAUCCAGGACUUUGUUCAGGCCGGACGGCCCCUCUUUGCUGCCUUUAAAUGGCUUCUUUCGUUGACCGGGUCACUAGCCCCUGAAUCCGGCGUUGACCGCCGUGUCGUCCGGACUUUCUUCCUUGUUUCGACGCUUCUUUUUAUUGCGUUGUGGCUUCCCGUUGCCAUCCCUGAUUUCGGAUGUGCCUGGGUCACUGGUGCCUCUACGGGCCAACCAGCUGUCCUCACCCACGCAAAAGCAUGUCAUAAGGCUUGUUAAGGCCGCCAUUGUCCUCGGCUUUUCUUGGCCGAGGUGUCUGGCAAGCCAUUCGUCCCAGAUACUGUGCUUGAAGGCCGCUAGGGCUUCGACAUCCGGACUAUCAACAAUUUGAUUCUUCUUAGUGAGAAAUCUGUUCCAAAGCUUACGGGCUAACUCUCCGGGCUGUUGUAUUAUGUGAUUUAAAUCGUCUGCAUCCGGAGGUCGGACAUAGGUCCCUUGAAAAUUGGCCCUGAAAGCGUCCUCAAGUUCCUCCCAACUUCCGAUUGAAUUUUCGGGGAGGCUUUUCAACCAAUGCCCAGAUGGUCCUUUCAACUUGAGGGGAAGGUAUUUGAUGGCGUGGAGGUCAUCUCCACAAGCCAUGUGGAUAUGAAGGAUAAAAUCCUCAAUCCAGACCCCAGGGUCUGUCGUUGCGUCGUAUGCCUCUAUGUUCAUGGGUUUGAAUCCCUGUGGAAAUUCGUGAUCCAGCACCUCGUCGGUGAAGCACAGAGGGUGUGCAGCCCCUCUGUAUCUGGACAUGUCGUGGCAUGCUGUUGACUAUUGUUGUGUCCGGUGUUGAUUCCGAACUGGUAUUCGAUCAGUGUGAUCAUUUUGGUGACCAUAAUCCCGCGCCGGAGCAUGUCCUCUAGAUCCAUAGAUGGACCUGGUCGCACCGGCCUUUUUGUCUAGGAGCUCACAUAAAUCGUGUGCUGGCUUGUGUGCGGCGUCAGUAGCUGCUCUAUCGCGGCCAUGAGGUGGUCGGUCCGGCCGAUUGUCCGUAUUGUUCUUCGGCAGAAUGGGCUCUAUGGCCUCAUCGUCGAAUUCGGGCAGCAGCUUGUGCUUUGGGUAGCUCUCUGUGUGGCGAUCGUCGCCAUAUUUUUCUUCAGUGUCCAGCACUUUAUUCCAUCUGCGAUUGAGUGUAUCCUGCGCGGCCUUAAGCCUUUGCUUCUGCUUCUUUAGGCUCCUCGCAGUGGCCAUAAGCCUUCUGUGGAGGUUAUCUUGUUCCAAACGUUUUUACGGGAUGAUGAAUGCAUCGUCGUCCGGACUGUCCUCCUCUCCGGAGGCAGGUUGAUGAGUUCAACCCUCGGGAUCGCUGUGAUCGGGCGCCUGCUCCGGGCUGUGUUCGGCGUGACCUGGCUCAUCCUGCUCCUUCGCUAGGUCCAUAUAGUCGUUGUUGCCUUUGGAGUCGACCGGGGUGUCAAUUUUUCUUGCGAUGUUAUCGCUAUUUUUACUGUGACUGGACUUAGAGCGACGCCUGCGCCGUUGUUUUGGCUUUUGUCCGGGGGGUUUAUCCUCCAUUGUGUCCUUUUUGUCGCCGUUGUCCUCCUUAGGCAUGUCCACCAUGUAUAUAGCAUAUGAUGAGGUGGCAGUCCAGUGCCCCGUGGGCGGUGGUUCCAGAUUGUCCCCUGCAUCGACGUCCAUACCAUCGAUGUCGUCGGAGUCGAAGUCAAGCAUGUCUGUUAGGUCAUCGACAGUGGCUAUUAAGUGGGUGGUGUGUGGGCCACAAUUUUCUUCGUCAUCCGUAUCCCACUCGAGCCGGACAUAGUUCGGCCAAGAGUCUUCUCACAAAGAGAGAGACCUUAAAGAGUUUAGCACGUCACCAAAGGGCGAGCGCUGAAAGAUAUCUGCGGCAGUGAACUACAUGAUUGGUUCCCAAUCAGCUUCGAUGGGCACGGAUGCGCGCGGUCCGGGAUCCACGGCCGGAAACAAGUCCGGGGGUCCGACGACACAGAUUUCCUCAAAGGUGGAGUCUGUGUUCGGCUCCAGCACCGAUGAAUGUGGGGCCUCCGUGACGGGGUCCAUCCCUCCGUCCUUGGGAGGCGCAAUCCGCCCCGGAUUUAGGUCUGGAGCUGCUGCAGGUGCGAUAUCCCGAAUACUGUCCGCUGGCAGAUCUAAGUCGUGCUCGUCGUGACCAUUCGGCGCUCCUGACGCAAUCCCGAAUCCAUCGAAGAUCAAGUCUCUGCGGACAUCGGCGGUGUAGUUCAAGUUUACGAACCCGACCUGAUGGCCAGGGGCGUAGCUGUCGAUCUUCUCCAGAUCGCCAAGCGAAUUGGCCCGCAGUGCGAAGCUGCAGAACACGAAGGUCUGCCCGGGGAGAAAAGUCUCGCCACGGACCGUAUCGUUGUUGAGGAUUGAAGGAGCCAUCAAACCUUGAAGCGACGACACAGAGGAACUCUCAAUGAAAGCACCAAUGUUGGUGUCAAAACCGGAGGAUCUCGGGUAGGGGGUCCCGAACUGUGCAUCUAAGGCUAAUGGUAACAGGAGGCUGGGGACAUGAUGUUUACCCAAUUUCGGGCCCUCUCGAUGGGAGGUAAUACCCUACUUCCUACUUGAUUGAUCUUGAUGAUAUGAGUAUUACAAGAGUUGAUCUACCACGAGAUCGUAGAGGCUAAACCCUAGAAGCUAGCCUAUGAUUCUGAUUGUUCUUGUCCUACGGACUAAACCCUCCGGUUUAUAUAUACACCGGAGGGGGCUAGGGUUACACAGAGUCGGUUACAUAGAAGGAGAUCUAACAUCCGAAUCGCCAAGCUUGUCUUCCAUGCAAAAGAGAGUCCCAUCCGGACAGGGGACGAAGUCUUCAAUCUUGUAUCUUCAUAGUCCAAUAGUCCGGCCAAAGUAUAUAGUCCGGUGAUGCCUACUACACAACCUUCUUCUUGUAGACGUUGUUGGUCCUGCAAGUGCAUAGGUUUGUAGGACAGUAGCAAAUUUCCCUCAAGUGGAUGACCUAAGGUUUAUCAAUCCGUAGGAGGCGUACGAUGAAGAUGGUCUCUCUCAAACAACCCUGCAACCAAAUAACAAAGAGUCUCUUGUGUCCCCAACACACCCAAGACAAUGGUAAAUUGUAUAGGUGCACUAGUUCGGCGAAGAUAUAGUGAUACAAGUGCAAAAUAGAUGGUAGAUAAAGGUAUUUGUAAUCUGAAAUUAUAAAAACAGCAAGGUAACAAGUGAUAAAAGUGAGCAUAAACGGUAUUGCAAUGAUAGGAAACAAGGCCUAGGGUUCAUACUUUCACUAGUGCAAGUUCUCUCAACAAUAAUAACAUAGAUAGAUCAUAUAACCAGCCCUCAACUUGCAACAAAGAGUCACUCCAAAGCCACUAAUAGCGGAGAAAAAACGUAGAGAUUAUGGUAGGGUACGAAACCACCUCAAAGUUAUUCUUUCGGAUCGAUCUAUUAAAGAGUUCGUACUAGAAUAACACCUUAAGACACAAAUCAACCAAAACCCUAAUGUCACUUAGAUACUCCAUUUUCACCUCAAGUAUCCGUGGGCAUGAUUAUAUGAUAUGCAUCACACAAUCUCAGAUUCAUCCAACCAACACAAAGUACUUCAAAGAGUGCCUCAAAGUUUCUACCGGAGAGUCAAGAACGUGUGCCAACCCCUAUGCAUAGGUUCAUGGGCGGAACCCGCAAGUUGGUCACCAAAACAUACAUCAAGAGGCACAUGAUAUCCCAUUGUCACCACAGAUAAGCAUGGCAAGACAUACAUCAAGUGUUCUCAUAAAACACUCAAUCCGAUAAGAUAACUUCAAAGGGGAAACUCAAUUCAUCACAAGAGAGUAGAGGGGAGAAACAUCAUAAGAUCCAACUAUAAUAGAAAAGCUCAGGAUACAUCAAGAUCGUGCCAUAGAGGGAACACGAGAGAGAACACGAGAGAGAGAGAGAUCAAACACAUAGCUACUGAUACAUACCCUCAGCCCCAAGGGUGAACUACUCCCUCCUCGUCAUGCAUAGCGCCGGGAUGAUGAAGAUGGCCACCAGUGAAGGAUCCCCCCUCUGGCAGGGUGCCGAGAAGGGCUCCUGAGAGGUUUUUGGUUGCUACAUAGGCUUGCGUUGGAGGAACUCCCGAUCUAUCUUGAUUUUCAAUGGUUUUAGGGUAUGUAGGCUUAUAUAGGCGAAAGAAGUCGGUCGGGGGGUGCUCGAGGGGUCCACGAGAGAGGGGGCCGCGCCCUGUAGGGGGGGGGCGUGCCCCCUAUCUCCUGUUCUCCUCGAGGAUCUUCUGACUUGAUCUCCAAGCCUCCAGGAUGAUAAUCUUCCAAAAAAACACGUUGCCGAAGGUUUCAUUCCAUUUGGACUCCGUUUGAUAUUCCUUUUCUUCGAAAUACUGAAACAGGCAAUAAAACAGCAAUAUGGGCUGGGCCUCCGGUUAAUAGGUUAGUCCCAAAAGUAAUAUAAAAGUGUAUAAUAAAGCCCGUAAUCAUUCAAAACAGAUAAUAAAAUAGCAUGAAUGCUUCAUAAAUUAUUGAUACGUUGGAGACGUAUCAGCAACCCCAAGCUUAAUUCCUACUCGUCCUCGAGUAGGUAAAUGAUAAAAGAAACAAUUUAUGAAGUGUGAAUGCUAGAGGUGCACAAGUUUGAUCAAUGAUAAUUUCAAUCACCUUUACUAGCAUCAUUAUAUGUCAUAACAGUAGUUCAUCUCAUAAAACUUUUCACGAACUAGUCACAAGCAAUUCACAUGUUAAAGCAUAGACCAUAAACUUUCUUGAAAACUAGCAAACUUCAUUCUUAGUCAUCAAACAAUUGCAAUUCAUCUUACUUUCAGGAAGGGUCUAUGUCAAAGCUUUGAUUUUAGCAAACUUCACAUACUCAACUAUCAUAUAGUCUUCUACAAUUGCUAACACUCAUGCAAUACUUGUGGUUAUGAAGUUUUAAUCAGACACAGAGAAAGAUUGGGGCUUAUAAUGUUGCCUCCAAGCGUAUUCACCUUUGGGUGAUGUCAACAAUAAUAGUUCAUGCUAACGUACAUCCAAUUGGAUAUAUAUAUCAGGAUCACCCUAACACAAAGUGCUUGCCAAAGGAUAAAAUGAAAAAGGGAAAGGUGAAGAUCACCUUGACUCUUGCAUAAAGUAAAAGACAUAAAGUAAAAGAUAGGCCCUUCGCAGAGGGAAGCAGAGGUUGUCAUGAGCUUUUAGGGUUGGAUACACAAAAUCUUAAUGUGAAAGAACGUCACUUUAUAUUGCCCCUUGUAUAUGGACCUUUAUUAUGUAACCCAUUGCUUUUAUUGCUUCCGUAACAAGUUCGUACAAAGCUUAUUUUCUCCACACUAAUAAGUCAUGCAUAUUUAGAGAGAAAUUUUUAUUGCUUGCACCGAUGACAACUUACUUGAAGGAUCUUACUCAAUCCAUAGGUAGGUAUGGUGGACUCUCAUGGCAAAAACUGGGUCUAAGGAUAUUUGGAAGCACAAGUAGUAUCUCUACUUGGUGCAAGGAAUUUUGGCUAGCGUGAGGGGGAAAGGCAAGCUCAACAUGUUUGAAUGAUCCAUGACAAUAUACUUUAACUGAGAUGUGAGAAAACAUAACCCAUUAUGUUGUCUUCCUUGUCCAACAUCAACUCUUUAGCAUGUCAUACAUAGUGAGUGCUCACAAUUAUAAAAAAUGUCUAUGAUAAUAUAUUUAUAUGUGAAACCUACCUACCUUCAAUAUUCUUUCAUGAAUUGUUCAAAUGACCAAUACAAUGCUUGCUAACCGUCAAUAAAUUUACAACCUCUACUUCUUAGAUGUGAAGUCAUUACUCCCCAUGGCAUAAGCAAAUGAAACAUAUAUAAUUUCAGAUUUAUGACAAUCAACUCAUUCAACAAUUUACUCAUAGGAUAUAAGUGAAGCACACGAGUAAAUGAAAAGCUACUACAAAAAGAUAUAAGUGAAGAUCAAUGAGUAGCUAAAUAAUUAUGCAACUAUGUGAAGACUAUCUCUCAAAUAAGAAUUUCAGAUCUUGGUAUCUUAUUUAAACAUAAAGCAAAACAAAAUAAAAUGGCAUUGCAAGGAUAGCACAACUCAUGUGAAGAAGCAAAAACUUAGGCUCAACCGAUACUAACCGAUAGUUGUUGAAGAAGAAAGGUGGGAUGCCUAACGGGGCAUCCCCAAGCUUAGAUGCUUGAGACUUCUUGGAAUAUUAUCUUGGGGUGCCUUGGGCAUCCCAAAUCUUGAGCUUUUGUGUCUCCUUAAUUCCUCUCAUAUCAUGAUUUCUCUUUUUAUCAAAAGCUUCAUUCACAACAAACUCAACAAAACUCGUGAGAUAGGUUAGUAUAAACCAAUGCAAAACCUUAUCAUUUUCUACUGUAAAAAAUCACUAAUAUUAUUAUUCAACAUUGAAUACUAAAUGUCUCUGCAUAUUUAAUACUCCUAUCCUCAAAUAGAAUCAUUAAACGAGCAAACAUAUGCAAACAAUGCAACCAUAACAGCAAUCUGUCAAAACAGUACAGUCUGUAAAGAAUGCAAGAGUAUCAAUACUUCCCUGACUCAAAAAAUUAUGAGAGAAAAUUCCUACUGUAAUAAAUUUAUCAGAGCUCAAUAUUCAAAAAUAUUAAACAUUAUAACAUUCUCUGACUUUUCUAGGGAAUUUUUGCAACAGCGGUAAACUUUCUGUUUUCAAACAGCAAUAUGUAUACUAGCAAAAUAAGCAUGGUGAAGGCUAUCCUUGACUUUUUUAUUGAAACUAAAGAUGAAAAACAUUAUUCUAAAUAACAGCAAGCAAAUACUAACAAAAGAAAAUGACGCUCCAAGCAAAACACAUAUCAUGUGGCGAAUAAAAAUAUAGCUCCAAGUAAAGUUACCGAUGAAUGAAGACGAAAGAGGGGAUGCCUUCCGGGGCAUCCCCAAGCUUAGGAUUUUGGUUGUCCUUGAAUAUUACCUUGGUGUGCCUUGGGAAUCCCCAAUCUUAGGCUCUUUCCACUCUUUAUUCCAUAGUCCAUCGAAUCUUUACCCAAAACUUGAAAACUUCAACCACACAAAACUCAAAACAAAAGUCGUAAGCUCCGUUAGUAUAAGAAAAUAAAACCACCACUUAGGUACUGUGAUGAACUCACUAUUUAUUCAUAUUGGUGUAAUAUCUAAUGUAUUCUAACUUCUCUAUGGUUCAUACCACUUAAUACUAGCCAUAGAUUGAUCAAAAUAAGCAAACAACACAUAGAAAACAGAAUCUGUCAAAAACAGAACAGUAUGUAGUAAUCUGUAUCAAACGUAUACUUAUGGAACCCAAAAAAUUAUGAAAUAAAUUUUUUGACCUGAGUAAUUUGUAUAUUAAUCAUCUUCAAAAAGAAUCAACCUAAAACCACUCUCCAGUAAAAAAUGGCAGCUAUUCUCGUGAGCGCAAAAGUUUCUGUUUUUUACAGCAAGAUCAUAAAGACUUCACCCAAGUCUUCCCAAAGGCUCUACUUGGCACUUUAUUGAAACAAAAGCUAUAGAACAUGAUUAAUACAGAAGCAUAAUCAUGUGGACACACAAAAACAGUAAUGGUAAAUAUUGGAUUGUCUCCCAACAAGCGCUUUUCUUUAAUGCCUUUUUAGCUAGGCAUGAUGAUGGCAAUGAUGCUCACAUAAAAGAUAAGAAUUGAAACAUAAAGAAAGCAUCAUGAAGAACAUGACUAGCACAAGCCUAACCAACUUCCUAUGCAUAGAGAUUUUGUGAGCAAACAACUUAUGGAAACAAUAAUAAACUAGCAUAGGAUGGUACAACAAGCAUAACUUCAAGAUUUUCAACACAUAGGGAGGAAACUUAACAUUAUUGCAAUUCCUACAAGCAUAUAUUCCUCUCUCAUAAUAAUUUUCAGUAGCAUCAUGAAUGAAUUCAAAAAUAUAACCAGCACCUAAAGCAUUCUUUUCAUGAUCUACAAGCAUAGAAAAUUUACUACUCUCCACAUAAACAAAAUUCUUCUCAUGAAUAAUAGUGGGAGCAAACUCAACAAAAUAAUUAUCAUGUGAGGCAUAAUCCAAUUGAAAACUAAAAUCAUGAUGACAAGUUUCAUGGUUAUCAUUAUUCUUAAUAGCAUACAAGUCAUCACAAUAAUCAUCAUAGAUAGCAACUUUGUUCUCAUAAUUAAUUGGAACCUCUUCCGAAAUAGUGGAAUCAUCACUAAAUAAAAUUGACACUCUUCCAAAUCCACUUUCAUGUUCAUCACAAUAAGAUUCAACAUCCUCCAAAAUAGUGGGAUCAUUACUUCCUAAAGUUGACACUCUUCCAAACCACUUUCAUCAAUAUAAUCAUCAUAAAUAGGAGGCAUGCUUUCAUCAUAAUAAAUUUGCUCAUCAAAACUUGGGGGACUAAAAAUAUCAUAUUCAACAAACAUAGCUUCCCCAAGCUUGUGGCUUUGCAUAUCAUUAGCAUCAUGGAUAUUCAAGGAAUUCAUACUAACAACAUUGCAAUCAUGCUCAUCAUUCACCUAUUUCAUGCCAAACAUUUUAAUGCAUUCUUUUUCUAGCACUUGAGCACAAUUUUCCUUUCCAUCAUUCUCACGAAAGAUAUUAAAAAGACGAAGCGUAUGAGACAAACCCAUCUCCAUUUUUUGUAUUUUUCUUUUAUAAAAUGAGCUAGUGAUAAAACAAGAAACAAAAAGAUUCGAUUGCAAGAUCUAAAGAUAUACCUUCAAGCACAUACCUCCCCGGCAACGGCGCCAGAAAAGAGCUUAGUUGACGGGGUGUGAGUGAGUGCCCUUUAUCUCGCCUCCCCAGCAACGGCGCCAGAAAUGAGCUUGAUGUCUACUACACAACCUUCUUCUUGUAGACGUUGUUGGGCCUGCAAGUGCACAGGUUUGUAGGACAGUAGCAAAUUUCCCUCAAGUGGAUGACCUAAGGUUUAUCAAUCCGUAGAAGGCGUAGGAUGAAGAUGGUCUCUCUCAAACAACCCUGCAACCAAAUAACAAAGAGUCUCUUGUGUCCCCAACACACCCAAUACAAUGGUAAAUUGUAUAGGUGCACUAGUUCGGUGAAGAGAUGGUGAUACAAGUGCAAAAUAGAUGGUAGAUAAAGGUGUUUGUAAUCUGAAAUUAUAAAAAUAGCAAGGUAACAAUUGAUAAAAGUGAGCGUAAACAGUAUUGCAAUGAUAGGAAACAAGGCCUAGGGUUCAUACUUUCACUAGCGCAAGUUCUCUCAACAAUAAUAACAUAGAUAGAUCAUAUAACAAGCCCUCAACAUGCAACAAAGAGUCACUCCAAAGCGACUAAUAGCGAAGAACAAAUGUAGAGAUUAUGGUAGGGUACGAAACCACCUCAAAGUUAUUCUUUCGGACCGAUCUAUUAAAGAGUUCUUACUAGAAUAACACCUUAAGACACAAAUCAACCAAAACCCUAAUGUCACCUAGAUACUCCAUUGUCACCUCAAGUAUCCGUGAGCAUGCUUAUACGAUAUGCAUCACACAAUCUCAGAUUCAUCUAACCAACACAAAGUACUUCAAAGAGUGCCUCAAAGUUUCUACCGGAGAGUCAAGAACGUGUGCCAACCCCUAUGCAUAGGUUCGUGGGCAGAACCCGCAAGUUGGCCACCAAAACAUACAUCAAGAGGUACAUUGAUAGAGGCAAAGGUGUCCCGUCUUUCGAUGAGAUGAUGGAUAUCGCUUUGGUGGAAGUCGACUUUGACGAUCCGACUACAAACAUGCACGAUGUUGCGCCUUAGCAAUCGCUAAACCAACUCCGAGAGGUUAUUGACCACGCUAGAGCACAAUCAACCUGACCACGUAGGUCUAUUCCUGCAAGCAAUCGAAGAACAAGCAAGAAUAUGAUAAAAGCAAUCUGAAUAUUGCGAGUAUAUAUGAAUUAUUGAUAAAGGUGGAGAUCCGUAAGCGGUCUUGGUCUGGUCGUUGGACACAAACGAAGUACACGAAGUUGCAAUGGUUAACUUUUAACUAAACAAAUCCCAAGGGAAAAGCUACUAGAUGGAUCUACUUAUAUAGGAGCAAGGGGUGGCGGCCGAGGAGGUGGGAGGACGUCCCAAGGCAGCCUAAAACUAACCCUAGGUCGUACAAGGCCAAUGGGCCCAAGUGGAGGUGAUGCAACACCUUUGGACUUGUUGUUUGACUCAGAUUCUGCUGUAGCGUCUGAUUGUUUAAUCGAUAUCUCAACGCUCCGGACGAAUUUGAAGGUGAAUCCAAUUGUGCUGGAAAGAACACAAAAUCUAGAAUUCAACAAAAAAAGAAUCACCCAAUUCGGAGUCCGUAUGAAAAAGUUGUUGGCGUUUUGAGUCAGGUAUGUCUGUGCAGUCCGAAUCUGAAUCCAGAACGUAAGAGACUUGGACUCUAUCUUCUCUUGGCCCAAAAGUGACGUGAGAGAACUUUUUGAACAGCACCUAAACAUCUCUUUCUCCCUUAUCUUCAUAUGUGAAUUGUACAAAUAUCCCAUACACCUGUAAUUAGACAAAACACAAAAUUGUGUGAAGUAUUUUUGUCUUGGAUAACAUAAAUAGAUUAUUGAAUAGUUUGCACUAGAAAUCACCUGAGAAAUAUGCAAGUAUGCAAUAUUUUUGGUUGUAUCCAAGGUAGUCAUGUCCUCAUCAUCCUCCCCCUUUUGAAAACAAAGCCGUCCUCGGCGUUGCUUAAUCUGAUAUGUGGCUAAGAAAAGAGACAAGGUAUACAUGUUGUAUAUGUAUAUGUCAUCCAUUUUUACUUUCCUUGAUUUUUGCACAUAUGACACAUGUAUACAUGAGUAACUUUCAUAUAUCAUAAAAUAUAAAGGCAAAAUAUUAUCAUAAGUAGAAAGCAUAAAAAUAUUGAAACUCAGUUUGCACAUAUAAGUGAAGCUCUUAUUCCUAUCAAAUGAUUGACAAUAUUCAUCAUUAAACCAUCCCAAUAUUGGUGAAUAAACCUUACUUGCAUCAAAUUUACAUGCUACAACAUUCUUAAAUAAGCAAACAUGCAGUAAGUCAUUGGACACAGAAUCAUCACCACGAUUAGAGGUCAUAUCGAAAUGAUUAAACAUUGGUUCUUUUGCAUCAAUAGUUAAUUCAAUGGGUGCACUCAAAAUUGUUGGUAUUUCAGUUGUUUGAUCACAUGAUGCAUUCAUGAUAGUAACAUGAUUCUCUAAAAUAGGUGGCGUGCUCAAAUCAACAGGUAACUCAACACAUGAUGUAUUUAAGUUAAUUAGGGAUGCAUCAUUCUCAUGUGAAGUUAUAUCAUCAAUACCUUUACUGUUACCUUGUCGCAAAGACGUAGCUGAUGUCGGUAUGGACAAUGACAAUGUACCAUACACUUGAGAUGAUGUCACACUCACAAUCUGAGGUGUGGCUGCUCUAGUAGGUGCAACGGUGGAGGAAUCAACCGAUGGUAGUAAGCAUGAAUUGGAAUAGUAGUUGUUGUAGUCACCCAAUGCAUCCUCCUGUAACUGUCUCUCAAAGGUACAAGCACGAACAUACAUACCAGUAAUGCAACGAGGAAUAUACCUAAAUCUUGCCUGAAUAUCAUGGUUCAAACCACCAAAAAAUCUAUUCAUUGUAUCAUCCUCAGAUUCUUCUAUGUCACAAUGAUGCAUAUAAGAUUUGAACUCUUGGUAGUAAGCAUGAACGGUGUUAUUGCCUUGUUUAAAUUGUUCAAAUUUGCGAAGCAAUUCACAACGAUAGUAAAGAGGGAAAAAUUGUUGUCUCUUUACAUGUUUCAAAUCUUUCCAAGUUGUGGGUUGGUUAUCAAUGUUUUUCUUACAAUGCACACUCCACCAAACAGAAGCAAAGCCAGUAAAUGCUCUAGUGGCAGCUCGUACUCGCUCAAGUUCAGAAAAGUCAUGGUUACUAAAAACUUGUUCUACUUCAAACUCCCAAGCUAGAUAAAUAGCAGGAUUAAAUCUACCCUCAAAUGACGGUAAAGAGAUAACCUUACCGUGUACUUAUGUGUGUUGUCCCAACUCUCGUGAUGGUGAAGAUGUGUCCGUCGUCCAAGAACUUCUAUCCCCGAAACCUGUCAUGAUUAGUAGAAACAAGAAACAAAAUUCGAGAAUAAUGUUCCUAUGAACUACUAGGAUGUGGUUGUAAAGUGCUCACAGUAAAGCAAAUAUCAAUAUCUUACAAGUUCUUACCAUGCGGCAGGUGGUGACAGGCAACCAACGAUGUCAAAUAACUCCGAAGAUUGUGUAAAGCGAUUGCCAGGGGAACGUACGUAUACACGGUGUAGAAAUAUGUGGAGCUGGGUUGGCUAUAUAUGGUAGCAAAAAAUUAGCAAUAAUCAAUUCAGAGAUGCAAUGUUGAAUAAACGCUCAACGACGGUACUGUGCGGGUCCUAGGAUAGACCGGACUAGAGACGCGAGCCUAGAACACUAAUGAGGUCACGGCGUAGCACAACUAGCAUCAAUGAACGAUACUAAGUAGCUCUUGACAGCAAGAUAUAAGUGAAUAUCACAACCGCAGUGAAGAUAAUGAUGAAAAACAACUGCCAAGCAGGAUAUAGAACAACUCUCUCUCCAACUUUCCUCUUGAAAAGUUUGAGCCAAUUUUCUGAUAAAUUCUUUCAAAGAAUGCUACUAACUCAAGUUUUCCAAUGCAAAAAGAAUCACUCAAUUCCGAGUUGAUAUGAGGUGUCAAAGAAUUCUAAAACUGGCCUGAAAAAUUGGAACAAGUUGUGUUCAUGAACUUUGGAGGGCAAAAAGACCUAUUUAGAAGCCAAUUUUGAGGUGUCAAAUAUUGAACUACCUUUUGCAACUAUUCAGAUGCGGCUCGUCGCUAGCUUCGAUUUGAGUACUCACGGAGCCAAAACGGACUUCGUAUGAGGAAGAUACACCUGUUUUACUGAACAGUGCGCAAAACAGAUUCCAAUCCGAAUUCAGGUACGAGAUUGAUUCUAGAUAGAUCCGAUUUUUUUUCUUCUCUCCUUUUUUUUCUCACACUUUUUUUUAUUUUUCUUCUCUCUCUUUCUCUUUUUUUCUUUCCUUUUAUCUCCCUUUUUUUCUCUCUCUUUUGUUUUCUCCCUCUUUCCAAGACAAACUAGAUAAGAUGCAGAUUGGAUCAGGCAAAGAUGUGAAUGACCUCAACUAUGAUUAUGACAAUGAACAGUGCGUAGCACGUGGUGAAAAUUAAUAGAUGGGAUGGUGGACGGCGGAAGGGGUAAUGAUGUAGCGGCGGCGUGACUAAUGUGAACAGAACUCGAAAAUCUAAAGGAACUAGACACUAAGACCAGCAACUGACACGACGAUGCAACCGAUAAUUCAACUAUGCAAGCAAUGAAUAGAAAAUUGCAAAGGCUCAGACUGGCUUGGAUAAAGGAUGAACAGAUCUAACUUUUUUUUGUGGCUUUUUCAUGGACUGUAGGUAUGAAUGACAGAUGCGAUCUAAACUAUGAAAAACUGUAAAAUCUCACCGAGCAACCUGAAAACUGAUACCACUUGAUAGAGGCGAAGGUGUCCCGUCUUUCGAUGAGAUGAUGGAUAUCGCUUUGGUGGAAGUCGACUUUCACGAUCCGACUACAAACGUGCAUGACGUUGCGCCUUAGCAAUCGCUAAACCAACUCCGAGAGGUUAUUGACCACGCCAGAGCACAAUCAACCUGACCACGAAGGUCUAAUCCUACAAGCAAUCAAAGAACAAGCAAGAAUAUGAUAAAAGCAAUCUGAAUAUUGUGAGUAUAUAUGAAGUACUGAUAAAGGUAGGGAUCCGUAAGCGGUCUUGGUCUGGUCGUUGGACACAAACGAAGUAUACGAAGUUGCAAUGGCUAACUUUUAACUAAACAAAUCCCAAGAGAAAAGCUACUAGAUGGAUCUACUUAUAUAGGAGCAAGGGGUGGCGGCCAAGGAGGUGGGAGGACGUCCCAAGGCAGCUUAAAACUAACCCUAGGUCGUACAAGGCCAAUGGGCCCAAGUGGAGGUGAUGCAACACCUUUGGACUUGUUGUUUGACUCGGAUUCUCCUGCAGCGUCUGAUUGUUUCGUCGAUAUCUCAAUGCUCCAGACGAAUUUGAAGGUGAAUCCAAUUGUGCUGGAAAGAACACAAAAUCUAAAAUCCAACAAAAAAAUCACCCAAUUCGGAGUCCGUAUGAAAAAGUUGUUGGCGUUUUGAGUCAGGUAUGUCUGUGCAGUCCGAAUCUGAAUCCAGAACGUGAGAGACUUGGACUCUAUCUUGUCUUGGCCCAAAAGUGACGUGAGAGAACUUUUUGAACAGCACUUAAACAUCUCUUUCUCCCUUAUCUUCAUAUGUGAAUUGUACAAAUAUCCCAUACACCUGUAAUUAGACAAAAAACAAAAGUGUGUGAAGUAUUUUUGUUCUAGAUAACAUAAAUAGAUUAUUGAAUAGUUUGCACUAGAAAUCACCUAACAAAUAUGCAAGUAUGCAAUAUUUUUGGUCGUAUCCAAGGUAGUCAUGUCCUCAUCACACAUGAUAUCCCAUUGUCACCACAGAUAAGCACGACAAGACAUACAUCAAGUGUUCUCAUAAAAGACUCAAUUCGAUAAGAUAACUUCAAAGGGGAAACUCAAUUCAUCACAAGAGAGUACAGCGGGAGAAACAUCAUAAGAUCCAACUAUAAUAGCAAAGCUCAGGAUACAUCAAGAUCGUGCCAUAGAGGGAACACGAGAGAGAACACGAGAGAGAGAGAUCAAACACAUAGCUACUGGUACGUACCCUCAGCCCCGAGGGUGAACUACUCCCUCCUCGUCAUGGAUAGCNNNNNNNNNNNNNNNNNNNNNNNNNNNNNNNNNNNNNNNNNNNNNNNNNNNNNNNNNNNNNNNNNNNNNNNNNNNNNNNNNNNNNNNNNNNNNNNNNNNNNNNNNNNNNNNNNNNNNNNNNNNNNNNNNNNNNNNNNNNNNNNNNNNNNNNNNNNNNNNNNNNNNNNNNNNNNNNNNNNNNNNNNNNNNNNNNNNNNNNNNNNNNNNNNNNNNNNNNNNNNNNNNNNNNNNNNNNNNNNNNNNNNNNNNNNNNNNNNNNNNNGAGAUAGGGGGCCGCGCCCUGUAGGGGGGGGGGGUAUCUCCUGGGCUCCUCGAGGAUCUUCUGACUUGAUCUCCAAGCCUCCAGGAUGAUAAUCUUCCAGAAAAACACGUUGCCGAAGGUUUCAUUCCGUUUGGACUCCUUUUGAUAUUCAUUUUCUUCGAAAUACUGAAACAGGCAAUAAAACAACAAUAUGGGCUAGCCCUCCGGUUAAUAGGUUAGUCCCAAAAGUAAUAUAAAAGUGUAUAAUAAAGCCCGUAAUCAUUCAAAACAGAUAAUAAAAUAGCAUGAAUGCUUCAUAAAUUAUAGAUACGUUGGAGAUGUAUCAUCCGACUGUCCGGAUACCCCCUAAUCCAGGACUCCCUCACCAAUAGUUUCAAAUUUGAAUAGUUUAAAUUUGAAUUAUUUGAUGAACUAAUUUGUAGAAGAAGUGCAUCCAGUUUUUGCACAUAAAAUUUCUUUGCGUUUCAAAUGUGAAAACACAUAAGUACCCUAACUAUUACAAAGAUUCCCUCCGGUUUGUUCGAAGCGGCACUUUCCAGAUAUAUAAGUCCGGAAAGUCACUAUAGAAGAAAGUGAUGACAGUGAAGCCUAUCACAUCCCAGAGUGGGAUCUUUGGGUGUGAAACUUUUUCUUCGCAUGUGUCCCUUUGCACCAUAACCAUGGACAAUCUUCAUCAUUUAACUGGAUGCUCGAAUCAAUAUUCACUGUGAAUGGAGCAAUUUCAUCCAACUUUUCACAAUCUUCUGACAUGUCUGUCUUGUCAUCCACUCCCACGAUGUUUCUUUUCCGUGAAAGAACUAUGUGGCGCUUUGGCUCAUUGUAUGAUGCAUUCGCUUCCUUAUCUUUUCUUUUUCUUGGCCUGUUAGACAUGUCUUUCACAUAGAAAACCUGCGCCAUAUCGUUGGCUAGGACGAAUGGUUCGUCUGCAUAUGCAAGAUUGUUGACAUCCACUGUUGUCAUUCCAUACUGCGGGUCAUCCGUUACCCCGCCUCGUGUCAUAUUGACCCAUUUGCACCAAAACAAAGGGACCUUCAAACCACCUCCAUAGUUAAGUUCCCAUAUGUCCUCUAUGUAACCAUAAUAUGUUUCCUUUCCCGUGUUGGUUGUUGCAUCAAAGCGGACACCAUUGUUUUGGUUCGUGCUCUUCUUAUCUUGGGCGAUCGUGUAAAAUGUAUUCCCAUUUAUCUCGUACCCUUUGAAAGUCAUUAUAUUCGAAGAUGGUAACUGGGACAGCAAGUACAUAUCAUCUUCAAUAUCGCCAUCAUGCAUGGCACAUGUCUGCAACCAACCGGCAAAAGUCCUUGUUUGUUCACGUGUAAUCCAGUCGUCAGACUGCUCUGGGUGUUUGGAGUGUACAAAAUUCUUGUGUUCCUCCAUAUACGGAGCCACCAAGGCAGAAUUCUAUAGAACUGUGUAGUGGGCUUCAAUGAGAGAAUGCCCAUCCAUACAUAUUAUUUCAUCCCCUCCUAGCGUGCCUUUUCCAUCUAGUCUGUCCUUAUGGCGCGAUUCAGGAACACCAAUCGGCUUAAGGUCAGGAAUAAAGUCAAUACAAAACUCAACGACCUCCUCAUUUUCAUGGCCCUUUGAGAUGCUUCCUUCUGGCCUAGAACGGUUAUGAACAUAUUUCUUCAAGACUCCCAUGGACCUCUCAAAGGGGAACAUAUUGUGUAAAAAUACAGGACCCAAAACAUUAAUCUCUUCGCAUAGGUGAACUAGGACGUGCGUCAUGAUGUUGAAGAAGGAUGGUGGGAACACCAACUCGAAACUGACAACACAUUGCACCAAAUCAUUCUGUAACCUUGGUAUGAUUUCUGGAUCAAUUACCUUCCGAGAGAUUGCAUUAAGGAAUGCACAUAGCUUCACAAUGGCUAAUCGAACGUUUUCCGGUAGAAGCCCCCUCAAUGCAACCGGAAGCAGUUGCGUCAUAAUCAUGUGGCGGUCAUUAUACUUUAGGUUCUGGAACUUUUUCUCUGCCAUAUUUAUUAUUCCCUUUAUAUUCGAUGAGAAGCCAGACGGUACCUUCAUACUGAGCAGGCAUUCAAAUAAGAUUUCCUUCUCUUCUUUGGUAAGAGCGUAGCUGGCAUGACCCUGAUGUAUGACGUCUUUUCCGUGCAUACGUUGCAGGUCCUCCCGUCCCUUCGGUGUAUCUUUUGUCUUCCCAUACACGCCCAAGAAGCCAAGAAGGAUCACGCAAACAUUCUUCAUCACGUGCAUCACAUUGUUUGCAGAGCGGACCUCUAGGUGUUUCCAAUAGGGUAGGUCCGAAAAUAUAGAUUUCUUAUUCCACAUGGGUGCGCGUCCGUAAGCGUCCUUCGGAACAGGUUGUCCGCCAGGACCCUUUCCAAAGAUUACCUUCAAAUCCUUGACCAUAUCAUGUACAUCAGCACCAGUACGGUGGCGAGGCUUCAUCAUGUGAUCCGCCUCACCUUUGAAAUGCUUGCCUUCUUUGCUUCGUAUGUACUCUCGGGCAAUUCGUUGUCCUUUGGAAGCAUAUUCUUUAUCAUUACUAGCAACUUUCAAAAUCCCUUAUCAGAUACACCAUUCUCUGCCUUCCAUUGCAGCAAUUCCAGUGUGGUGCCCAGCUUUUUCUUGUCACCUUCACAAUUCGGGUACAACAAUUUCUUGUGAUCCUCUAACAUGCGCUGCAACUUCUUCUUCUCCCUUUCACUUGCGUAGUUUCUCUUUGCAUCGGCAAUGGCCCGACCUAGAUCAUCAGCGGGCUCAUCUGAUGCCUCUUCUUUAGCUUCUUCUUGCAUUGCCGGCUCAGCUUCUUCUCGCAUUGUUAUAUCAUUGUAUUCAGGAAACCCAUGGCCAGGAUAGCUAUCGUCAUCCUCUUCUUCUUCAUUGUCUUCCAUCAUAACCCCUCUUUCUCCGUUCUUGGUCCAAACAUUAUAGUGGGGCAUGAAACCGGACUCAUAAAGGUGGACGUGAAUGGUUCUUGAGCUAGAGUAAUUGUGAUCAUUCUUAUAGCCAGCACAUGGACAAGGCAUAAAACCAUCCGCCCGCUUGUUUGCGUGAGCCACAAUCAGAAAAGUAUGCACGCCAUCAACGAACUAGGGAGAGCAUCGGUCAUUGUACAUCCAUUGCCGGCUCAUCUUCAUUACACAGCACCGAAUAGACCAAAUUAAUACAAGUUCAUACAUAAAGUUCAUACAACACUUAAAUGCAACAUACAAAUAACUCUCUAGCUAAAGCAUUUAAAUGCAACAACACAUACGAUCAAGAUCGCAACUGAGGUAACAAUUGAUCCAACAUCAUAAUGAUACCAAGCCUCACUAUCAAUGGCAUAUUUUCUAAUCUUUCUAAUCUUCAACCGCAUUUUCUCCAUCUUGAUCUUGUGAUCAUCGACGACAUCGACAACAUGCAAUUCCAAUUCCAUCUUCUCCCCCUCAAUUCUUUUCAAUUUUUCUUUCAAAUACUCGUUUUCUCUUUCAACUAAAUUUAACCUCUUGACAAUAGAGUUGGUUGGAAUUUCCGGUUCACAUACCUCCUAGAUAAAAAUAUCUAUGUCAACUUGAUGGGCAUAAUUUGUCAUAAACAUGAAAUGCAACAAAUAGUUUUAAAAGAGAAUAUACCACAUCCGAAUCAUAACACGGACGAGGGCCGACGGGGACGGAUAUCAAAACCAUGGCACUAUGUAUAACAAACAAUGUACGGGUAAGAUAAUUAUACAAGUAACUAUAUAUCUAAAGCAAACAAACAUGAUUUUUUUAUAUAAAAAAGAUAAGAACAAGAGGCUCACCACAAGGUGGUGCCGGCGGCGGGUCGGUGCGGACGAUCGACGGUGGUUAUGACAGAGACGCGAAGGCACUAAGUAAACCACGCCUACAUAUGCAAACUAAGAGUUAUUUUAAGCUCAAAUUGCAUAUAAAUCAAAUAAACUACCACAUAUAAUUCCUCCCAAAUUACUAAAACCCACAAAUUAAUCACUAUAUAAAGCAUUGCAAAAGCUAAUCUAGCAAUGAGAGAUGAAAGGACAAAGUUGCUAACCUUUGUGAUCACUUGAAUGGAUGGGGGCCUUCAAAUCUUGACCAAAUUUGGGAAAAAUGUGUGAUGGAGCUCGGGGGAAGAGGGGAAGAACAGAGAGAAGAGGGGAAAGGGGGAAGAACAGAGCAAGCUGGACGAAGGGUUUAUAUGUAGGAUGACCUUUAGUACCGGUUCGUGGCACGAACCGGUACUAAAGGUGCUGGAGGGGCCCCAGUCUGACAACAUCCUGCCACCACGCUCUUUAGAACCGGUUCGUGGCACGAACCGGUGCUAAAGGUUCGCCACGAACUGGUACUACUGAGAUCGGCCCGCCUAGCCGUUGGAACCGGCACUAAUGGUCACAUUAGUGCCGGCUCAAUUUCAAACCGGGACUAAUGAGCUGCACAUUAGACCCUUUUUCUACUACUGUGAGAAGGCCCUGAUCUACACUUCCACCAAGAGAAAUUUGAUCCCCCUGCUAAUCCCUUGCGGAUCUUGUUACUCUUGGGUGUUUGAGCACCCUAGACAUUUGAGGUCACCUCGAAGCCACAUUCCAUUGUGGUGAAGCUUCGUGGUGUUGUUGGGAGCCUUCAAUUAAGUUGUGAAGAUUGCCCCAACCUUGUUUGUAAAGGUUCGAUCGCCGCCUUCAAGGGCACCACGAGUGGAAUCACGGCAUCUCGUAUUGUGUGAGUGCGUGAGGAGAAUACGGUGUCCCUAGUGGCUUCUUCAGGAGCAUUGUGCCUCCACACCGCUCCAACGGAGUCGUACUUCCCCACGAAGGGAAGGAACUUUGGUAACACAUCCUUGUCUCCACUGGCUCCACUUGUGCUUAUUUCUUACCUUUACUUUGUGCAAGCCUUACUUGUGUUACAUCUCUUGCUUGCUUGUGUUGCUUGUGUUGCUUGUGUUGCUUGCAUCAUAUAUGUUGCUCACCUAAUUGCUUAUCUAGAAACCCUGUUUGUUGCAAACCCUAAUUUGUUAAGAAAAGUUAAAAAUUGGUAGCUGCCUAUUCACCCCCUCCCCUCUAGUCAUAUCGAUCCUUUCACCCAUGAAACAAGUCUAGGAGUAAGAUCUGAAGGCAUCGUUCAUUCCCUCAUAACAUGUCCUUCUCACAUGAGUUCUUCUAAUAAAUAGCAACGACGUCAUCACCUGACAAGGAUUCAUGAUUUCUUUCCUUUCCUUGCUCGAUCUCCGUAGAAUCUAGACUAACGUGGGUACUGUACUACUAUACAUACCUAGAGGUUCAAAGACUGACAUUGGUGCGGGAAGACGAUAUCAUAGAUUUUGCUAUGGCCGUGGACAACGUCGGUGCCGGGAUAGGGACAACAAUGAGGCAGGACGAGAGGGCAAAGCGCUACAUGUCAUCGAUCAUGCCAUCCAAAUUGAGCGAGGGUUGAUGUUAAAGAAACCUAAAUGUUAAGCACCUCACGUCAACCAGAGGGUUUUCUCUGAGCAAAUGUGUUGUGACAUGUUUAAUUUUCGUGUAUGAAUCUCAAAGCAAUAUACAUGGCAAUCACUGUUUGCUCCCACACACCACUCUGAGCCAACUAUGAGCCGACGAUACUAAACGGUUUGCUCAGGAUGGCAAUCUGAGCGAACACAUCUGGCAUGACAAAUUUCUGUUUUUAGAGCACGUCAAUUUUCAUCAGUUCCCUUUGAUGUAGCGUGACAAUUUUCUUCUCCAGCAUGGCAAAUUCUGAACAAGUUUUUCUAUUGAAAAAACCAUUUUUUUUCUAGGCUGGCAAGUCUCCAUGUUGCAUCAUGGCAAAUCCCUGAAAACGCAUAACAAAUACUUUGUUGCAACAUGGCAAAUCCAUGACAAUCUUUCUGCUAGCAUGGCAUUUUUUUUCUUUACAAUAUGACAAAUCUUUAUAACAUAGCAUGGUAAAUAUAUUUAUUUUAGCAUGGCAGUCUCAAGUGUUUGCUAGGAAUGAGUUUUUAAGCGAACACUCCUAGAUUGCGGCGUUCGUUUGGAUGACCUCCCAUAGGGAGAGAUAAUUCGCUCGGGUGGCCUUCAUGAGAAAACGCCAGCGUAAUAUUAGGGUCAAGAAAAGAAGGAAAGUCGAAGGAUGACAAUCUGGGUAAUCUCGUUAUAAGAAAACUUUUGUAGCACUCACUAAUAACAAUUUCCGUGUUUAUUUGCCCUAUGUGAUUUUGUUGCUCUCAUGGUUCUGCAUCAAGAGAAUGAACACAGCCUAGUUACGCCUCCCUAUCUAAACUUGACAUGAUUGACCCAAGCUCGAUGGCCGCAAGUACCCGUGUAUAUUUGAGGCAGGUGACUAAGCAUAUAUUUGCGGAGUGAUCUCAAAACAAUGUUGAAAAGGUGAGGAUAAGAGCAACUCUAGCAGACCCCGCAUUCCACCGACCCACAUAACUCAUUUGCAGUUCGCAAAACAACUUUUGGUGGCCGGCGCGGGCUGGCACAGAUGCAGAACCCGCAUAAUGGACCCGUAAAAAGCAUAUUCGCGGAAUAUACUUUUUUAUGGGUCGUCUUAUGCAUGUUCUGAUCUGGCGCAGCUCGUCCCAACCCGUAAAACUUAGAUUGAUCUAUCAUAAUGCUUUUAUUUGCUUUUGCAACAACUUUAGAUACAAAAUAUAUCACCAAAUCUUGGCUAGAAUAGCAGAACCAAAAAAAACAAGAACCACAAGGCAUUUCAGAAGAUUUCCAACUUUCAUAACUGCUCUCACUAGUUGAAGCAAUAUCUUCUCCAUGCACUCAUUGUUGAUCUGUGGAUUCUUGAUCUUGUUUUGUUCAUUCUUGAUGCUUUCUUCAUUCUUCAUCUUUGGUUUCGAAGAAGUCGACGUUGCUUCCCCUCUAGUUGCACAUGCAGCCGCAUCAUUGCCUUCAAUUGUACUAAGGAGUGCACUAACAUCUAUUAAGUUUCUUUCUAUCAACAAAUCAAUGUAUUGGCCUUCCAAAACCGAAAUGAGCAUACAUCGUCCUACACAAAAGAUUGAGCAAUCUCGAAGUGAGCUAUGGUACUUUAACUUAAGAAUGAGCUAUGGAACGAGCUACCGCAAGUGCACGUACCCCGUCAUUUUCGCAUUUGUAUACCCAUCCGGGGUGCUUCGGCGUGCCCGAAGUGAGCCGCGGCACUUGGCGCGGGCAGUCAUCACACUGUAUGAGCGGCAUCGGCAAUCCACAAAGACGUUGCGCGAGCACCGAGCCCGGCGAACGGCCGGAGGCGUCCAUGCCCGCAAACCUUCGGCGGCGGCGGGCGGACGAACCCGCGCCUGCAUGCGGCGAUGCGCCCUUGCCUGGGCUACGGGAGAGGCUCCCCGACCACUCCAUCGCCUGGGGCAGCAACCGGCGACCGAAAAAAAGCCAAAUUCGGCGGUCGGCGAUGAAGCGCCGCAGAUCUGCAAAUCCGGCGGCCCGCCGACGCAGGAAGGAAGGGAAGGGAGGCCUCGUGCGCGUGGAGGCCUUCCGGCGUGCUCCUGCCGGCUGCUCUCACCGGAAUCUUGGGCGGCGGCCGACGGCUGCGCGAGGGGGGAGGAGGGGUGGUUGGUGGGAGAAAGCGCGGGAUGAAAUGCCUCCCCCCCCUCCCCACCAACCGCUUCCGUUUAUAUGCAGGGCACCGCAGCCGCGGGGGGAACCCGCGUUUUUCCGGGUUGGGGCGGAGAAUUUGCCUCGCCCUGCAAAAAGUUUUGCGGGCCGGGAAGGAUGCGGGUUCUGAUCGGGAUGCUUUUUCGGCCCCGACCCGCAUUUUGACGGUUAUUUUACGGGUCGGGACGGGAUGCGGGGUCUGCUAGAGUUGCUUUCCAUUUAGCUCGACCUAGACCACAACUUUUUGAUAUCUGCGGCAGGAGAACCGAACAGAAUUAACCGUGAACUAUACGUCCAGGAAAAAUAAAGGGAAACACUUAGUGCCUCCCUUAAACGUACACUAUAUAUAGAUGCCUAUUUUUGCUCUCCCUUUGACCUUCUCUCCAACCAGAACUAAUCAAACGCACUAUCGUCCAUACAUGCAGCUAAUCCUGCUCUUAACCACUCGUAUCCAAACCGCCCCGGCCUAUAAAUCAAGCCAUUUCCCUUGCAUUUCAUCAUCAAGCGCAAUAAGAUCAAAGCAAUAAACUCCAUCUCGCAGCAAAGUGAAGAAUAAGCCAUCUGGGUCCAAGCUCAACUAUCAAGCUACGAUGGAGAUGAAGAAGAUCGCCUUCGCCGCCCUCAUGGGCGCUGCCUCGGCCACCGCCGUUGUGGCCUCCGAAGCAGCACCAGCCAGCGACGCCAACACCGUGGCAGCCGCCCCCGCCGCAGCCCUCGCCGCGGUCUCCUUCAUCGCAUAUUUCCUCUACUGAUGGGGACAAGGCAGGAGGGAGAUCGAUAUUAGCAUCACCUCAGUUGCACCCGCGCAUGCAUCCAUGCGAACAAUGGGGUGUUGGCUUUUCCGCUAAUUUCAUUUCAUUUGUAACCCGAUUAUGUGAACUGGUGAUGAUACGAGUUAUUUGAAUAUAUAUAAUUUUCAUUCUGUCAUAUACAUCAACCAGUGCAUUUCUUGAUAUUUACCUUGUUUAUUUGAAUAUAUAAUUAUGAGGGCAGCACAAGAUCGACACACUCACACACAUGCCAUGAGGGCGGUUUUCACACCACGACAUCACCGCACCCAACUCGUCCUAUCAUAACAAAUAUCAGAUCUAACCUGGAAAAAAAAAUCAGAUCUACAUGGAGAUCACUCUGAUAAAUCUUACGUACACCCUCCAUUUCAAUGAAUAAAGCGUGCACAAGUUUGCACAUUUAAAUUUGACCAUUAAUUUAAGCAACAAACUGUGAGUUAUGUGCCAUAAAAGUUAUAUUGUUGAAUUCAUAUUUAGAAAAAGGUUUUCAUGGCAUAACUUUUAAGUCAUAUAACUUGUAUAUUAUUGCUCUAAUUGAUGUCAAAGUUGAAUCUUAAGAUCCGCACGUGCCUUAUUCAUUGAAAUGAAGCUAGCAUACGUCAUAAAUCAUGGGACAUACUCUGCUUCCCAAAAUGGGACAUACUCAUUAGUUUUGUCCUAAUUCUUUUUGUUUGACCAAGUCUAAAAAAAGUGUCUAUGUCUAAUAUCAAAUAAAUACACUAUGAAUACAUAUUUCAUGAUGUACCUAUUGUAUUGAUGUCGAUAUCUAUAAAUUUGGUCAGACUUAAGAAAAUAUGAAUUAGAACAAAACAAAUACUCACAUGGCUUAUAUUUUCGGGAGAAGAUGAGUUUAGGCUCUAACGCGAACAUGUGUGGGUAUCAUACAUCAGUGUUCAAUUUGUAGAUUGAAUCCGGAUGGACAACUGCCCAAGAUAUAUGUUACCAACACAAAACAUGGUCAAACUUAUAAGAAGAUAUGACUUAGAACAAUACAAAUAUGACUUAUAUUUUGGGAAGAAGAAAAGUUUAAUCCCCAAGGCGAACACGUGUGGGUGUCACACAUCAAUGUUCCAAUCAUAUAUUGAACACGGAUGGACAACCUAUGCAAGAUAUGUCUUACCAAUACCACACAUGGCCAAACUUAAGAACAUAUGUCGUAGAGCAAUAAAAUAUGACUUAUAUUUUGGGAUGAAAAUGAAGAUUUGAGCCCCUAACGUGAACACUUGUGGGUGUUGUACAUCAUUGUUCAAUUCAUAGAUUGAACAUGGACGAACAACCUACACAAGGUAUGUCUUACAAAUACCAAUGGGUCCGCACACUAAAUUUCCUAUUUUGAGUAAUCUUGAUUUGAGUUGGCGAUGGGUAGUCAUUCUACCGUCUCCAUGAGUCAUGUAUAUCAUGUACAGGUUGCAUUGAUCUACUUGGCACGCCCAUGGGUUCCCUAAGGAAAUACUGAGGAGUACUUGGCAAGAGACCGCGAGUCCCACUCAUGACGGUCUGAAGUUCUACUCGGAGAAAACAAAGUCUCCAAUACCUCGACUAUUAAAAUAAGGCGACCACUAAGCGCCGGUGCGCCGGCCGAAACCUUUCGGCCGGUCGGCCCCUAGCCGCCCGAUACAUGCAUCCACAGCCGCUCGAUUGGAUCCGCAAUGUUUUCUUCCUUCGCCACAGGAAACAAAAGAAAGCCGUCCGCUCGCAUCGAGCAAGGCCACGCCCCUCCCACUGGCAGAUCGAAGUUCCCCUCCGGCUUGCCUCGCCGCCGUCGUGCAGCACGCGCCCCACGCCCCUGCUGUCAACAGUAGCCUCCCGCGCGCCCCUCGCCGGUGCUGCCCACCCUCCUGUCGAAACAAAUAUGUCCAGUGCUGUAGGCCUUUGCAGCUCAGCGAGUGUCCCCACCCCCACUGGUUGUAGCACCGCCGGGUGGGCGUUUCCAGCAUCGCCACCAGCCAUCGUCAAUCCCGUCAACUGGUCAACGUUGUCGCUGGUGCAGCACCACCGCCUCGCUUGUGGUUCCAGUGGUCAUCCCGCUCUGAAAAGAAGUUGUUCCAACAAAACAAAUCGCUGGUUUCAAUAGAAUAAAUAGCUGGUUCAAUCCCUUCAAGCAAUAUUAUAGAUCCAGCAAAAAUAAAAAAGACGGGUGGUAGCACAAAUCAAAGACAGUGGAAGCAAAAAACAAAACGAUGGUAGCAAAAUUUGGGAGUGAUUCCAGCAAGAAGAUGGCUCCGGCAAAACAAAUCAAAAAUAAGGUUGUAGCAAAAAAUGAAGACGGUGGUAGCAAAAUUCAAAGACCAUGUGGCAAAAAAUAGAGUGGUUCCAGCAAAAGGAUGGAUCCAGCAAAAAAAUCAAAAACAGGGAUGAUAGCAAAAACUAAGACGGCAGUAGCAAAAAUAAAAAACCGUGGUAGCAAAACUUGGAAUCGUUCCAGCAUAUAGAUGGAUCUAGCAAAAAAAUCAAAAGACAAGGGAUGCAACGGUUGUAGCAAAAAACAAAACCAUGGUAGCAAAAUUUGGGAGCGGUUCCAGCAAAAAGCACUCUAAAAUGUGGAUCGUAGCAAAAAAAUGUUGCUGAUUCCAGCAAAAAUAGUAACCGGAUGUAGCAAAAAAUGUCGCCGACUGCAGCUCCCGCCAAGGCCGUUUCCAGCAUCUCGUCCGCUAGUCCACGGUGUAGCCGCCGUUCCAGCGCAGGUGGAGGCGCGUCGCUCACCGGAGCAAAAUGGGGGCAGGUGGAGGCGAGGCGCUCGCCGUAGCAGCGCGGUGGGAGGUGGAUGCGGCUGCUCGCUGGAGCAACGCGGUGGGAGGUGGAUGCGGCCGCUUGCCAGAGCAGCACGGCGCAGGUGGGUGUGGUGCUCGCCGGAGCAGCGCGGGGCAGGUGGAUCCAUGGAUGGCGGACAUCGCCGGAUUACAGCAGAAUCGUAUUUGAUUUGGGGAGGACUGAGCGAAGGGGAUAAGGUAACAAGCACGGUUUUGG
rnacentral:lncRNA from 1 species